GUAAUCUUUUGAACAGGAUAUAAUUACGGGUGGAACCGACACCACAACUACGAUGGUGGAAUGGACAAUGGCAGAGUUGAUGCAGCAUCCACAAGUAAUGAAGAAAGUUCAGGAAGAAUUAGCUCAAGUUGUGGGCAUGGACAGUUGUGUUGAAGAAUUUCAUUUGCCUAAACUGAAAUAUUUAGAUGCUGUGGUGAAAGAAUCGUUUCGUCUGCAUCCUGCAGUGCCUUUAUUAGUACCACGCAGAGCAAGCGAGAGUGGCAGCAUUGGUGGCUAUACCAUUCCCAAAGAUACAACUCUUAUGUUGAAUGUUUGGGCUAUCCACAGGGACCCUCAACUUUGGGAUAAUCCCUUAGAAUUUCGACCCGAGAGGUUUCUGAAUGUUGGUGUCGAGAGUAAGUUCGAUUACUCAGGUAACAAUUUUCAGUACUUACCUUUUGGUUCUGGUAGAAGAAUGUGUGCUGGGAUUCCUCUAGCUGAGAGGAUGCUGAUGUUUGUUUUGGCUUCGUUAUUGCACUCAUUUGAGUGGGAAUUGCCAGCUGGCACAAAGCUAAAUUUAUCUGAAAAAUUUGGGUUUGUCAUUAAGAAAAAAGAGCCUUUGGUUGCUAUUCCAACACCAAGACUAUCCAAUUCAGAGCUUUACCAUUAAAACAGAAUGAUUGUGAUGAUUUUGUUAGUAUCGGAAGAUUUGUAUGUUAUUUCAAGUUCAAUCGUAAUAAAAUAUUUUAAUAAAAGUCCUCCGUUGCUAAUUUUUUUUUUCAACGGCAUAAUCUGUCAUCAUGCUUGUGUUUGGAGCUACUUUGGAAUGAUUAUUUUUGAAUUACAAUUUAUAAAUAUUUAGGUUUUAAAUUUUUUAUAAGAGUCUAAAUUUAUACACGUUCAGUAAAAGAUUCCCUAAAAGCUUUACAAUUCAAAAUUCUAUUAAAAGUAUAGAUGAAACUUUUAUACCUACUAAUUUUUUGGUCUAUUCUACAAGUUUAAAGAGGAGAUAUUUCUAGAGCUAGCAAAAAGAGCUACCUGAUUGUUUUCGCGUUAUGUCAAUUUUUUUAUUGUGUUAAAUUUAAUUUGACCCACAUAUGACCCAUUUAAUAAUCGUGUCAAAAUAUUGAAACUUGAACUUGAUACGGAAAAUAAAUGGAUGACCACACACACCCAUUUAAGAAUUAGGUAACUAUGUCACUUAAUACGACAUAACCCAAUAACUCGUUUAAUACAUAUUUAACAUAAUUUACAUUGUACAUUGUACACCCUUUUGUCAUAAAUUACACUAUUUUAUAUUUCUAAAUAAUAUUAUAUAUUGAUAUUAUAAAAAAAUAUCAAUAAUCUCAAAAUUUGUACACCUCCUAACUUUUAAAAAGAAAUAAAAAAACUAAUUAAUUAAUGUUUAUUUUAUUCAUUAAUAUAUCAUAAUCCUACAUGUAUUUUAUUUGUUAUUUUUUUUAUUUAAAAAGAUAGGAGGGUGGAUGAAACUCAAAUAAAUUUUUAGCCUAUCCUGAUCUUUCAAGUUUCUUAUUUAGGAGGCCAGUUAAAAAAAAUUACUUAGAAAGCUACUCCAUCAAUUUAACAAAUUUUAUUUAUUUAAUUAAUGGAGGUGUAGAAAAUAAAAGUAUCUGCAAGCACAUUGCAAUAGUGAAAGCAAUGUACCGGUGUUGCAACAUAACUGAAUCUUGAUAACCUAUCACAUAUUUUAAGUUUUAAUAUUGGUAGUUCACGGAUCGGUUUCUACUUCCACGAACAAUUAUUGAAGGAAAUGAGUUUUUUUUUUAAUGAAUAUUUAUAGACCCCGAUUAAAUAUUCGAAUAUAUAAUAAAAGAGAAACUGACAUAGAAAUGAGAAAGAUAUUUGGAGGAGGCCAAAAAAAAAAAAAAAAAUGCAACAGAGAAUUAGAUCAGCAACACAAGUAACUAAUUAAUUCAUCUAUACAUCAUAAUCCUAUUUGUAUCUUCUUCCUUCUACUAAUUUACAUAUAAAUUUGGUUAGAUAAAACAUAUUUUAAUACUCGGUCACAAGCGGUGGAUAUAGAAAAUUAAUUUAGAGGGGGUAAUACCAUAACGAAAAAUAAUGAUUCAUAACUAAAAUCAACCCCAACAUCAAAACUUAUUUACAAGAUUACGCCCAGUCAAAGGUAAUUUUUCCUAAAAACUAAUACGAAAUUAAAUAAAUUUAACUUUUAGUGGGUUCAAGUGCCCACGCAUUCUGAACGUAGAUCCACCCCUGGCCCCGACUGAAGCAUUUUUUACAAUAUGUACUCAGUUUAUCAACAGGAACAACCUUCCACUUUAAAUUAAAAUUUUCACUUAAAAAUGAUUAAUGUUAAUGAGGUUAGCAACAAAAAUGAGUUUAAUUAGAGAAUAUUAUAAGAGAAAUUAUAUUUUUUGACUUUUAAUAAAUUAAAAUAUUAUUAGUUGGUGGUGGUUUCACGUCAGAUUAAGACGUGACACUUUACUUAUGAGGUCGAGACAAUCGACUUAAACUAUUUCAAUGCAUUUGAAAUUUGCACUAAUGGCUAUCAUUCUUUGUCCAAAUUAAUACGAUAAUUAAUAACAUACAAUUGAAAUAAUUAAUACUAGCACUUGGCAAUAAAUAAAGCUCUUGUGCUUGAAUCGUCACACAUGAUCACUUCAUUCCUUUAUUUACUUUGCUACCACAAAUUUUGAGGCAUUAUAACUAAAUAAUAAUUGAAUAGGGCUUUGUGUUACUUGUUGUGCGCGCGGAAUGCGGAAUCAAGCACACCAAAUUAUUACAGAAAAAUAAAGGACACAAUUAUUUGACGUGGUUCGGUAAUUAAACUUACAUCCACGGAGGCAAGAAAGAAUAAUUGUUUAUUUAACAAUUAAUAGAGUACAAAUAUUUGAGUAACGAAUCUCACUUCUCAGAAACCUAAAUAUACCCAAUACUCUCACACUCUGCAGGAAAGAUAAAUUAUCCAAACACACUUCUCUCACUUCUCUAAAAAACUUAAAAAUUUAAAAACUUAACAAUUUUGGAAUGCUUUAGAAUAGAAGAAGUGCCAUCUUAUAGGAAAAAUAAUGAUACUAUUGCACCAACCUCUUUACUAUUCCACCUAACAUAAGCAAAUUGUCAAUAGUGUCCAUUUAACUUUUUAUUUUUUUUCUUCAAUUGUUUAGUAGCCCUUUAAAAAUCUGCGUGGUUUCUUGAAAUUUAGAUGCCACAUGCAUGACUUUUCAACACUAAUUACUACGAUAAUUAAUAUUAGCACUUGGCAAUAAAUAAAGCUCUUGUGCUUGAAUCGUCACACACGAUCACUUCAUUCCUUUAUUUGCUUUGCUACCACAGAUUUUGAGGCAUUAAAACUAAAUAAUAAUUGAAUAUGGCUUUGUGCGUCGAUGACGCCAGCAACAAGGGGACCACAAUUAUCACUUUUUAAGUUGCUUUUAAAAUUGAUUUUAAUAGUGAUUUGAUUAUUGUAGUGUUUUUAUUUUUAUAUUAAAAUUAAGUCGAUUUGUUAUAAUAAACUUAGUUGAGUUUAAUGGUAUUACUACAUAAAUUGAAUAGUCAUCAAAUAUUUUAAUGUUUUUAUGGCAAGUGUUGACGUGGCAUUUAUUUGUUGUAUGAUGGAUUUUAAAAUUUAUAAAAUUAUUUGUUAUUAAAUUACCCCCAGAUGCUGCAUCACCUGAAACUUAAUAAAGGGCAUGUAGCAUUGCCAUUACUCAACAUUCACUCUUAUGACUUUAUGACAUUAGAAUUAAAAUCUUUCGUACAUUUAAUUUGUUUGCUUCCAGAUUAAUCUUUAAAAAUAUUUUUUUCACAUUAUCAUGAAUGGACAAAACUCCAACGAAAAUAACUACGCAAGAGCAAUCUAUGCUAGUAUUAUAUGCCACGAUAUCUAUAACUUUGUCAGGUCUCAGGAUCGAUCAUUCUAAUUUUUACGCAGAACUUUUAAUCAAUGGACAAACACCUCACCGAGCUUGUCGGCAGCAUUACUACGAUGUAAAAUUGUACCGGAAUAUCUUGAAGUAUUAGUAGAAUAAUGAAGACUAUUUGGAGCAAUAAAAACAAAUAACGCAGAUAAAAAAAAUGGCUAAAAUUAUGUAAGUGAGCCCCAAAGUUUUUGCUAUUUCCAGGAAAUCCCAAAUUUGAAUGGACUAGAGGGAGGCACGUAAGAAAUACAUUUUCUUCCUAGACAAUGACAGCUAUGACAUCAAGCCACGUAUUGAAAUUAAGGUGUAAUUAUUCAGCCAAUGAGCCUUACACACCAAGAUGUAUAAAAGUCAAGAAAAUGAAAUUUUAUCCCAAUUAAAACACUUUCUGGCUGCAAUUGGCUGUUUCCAUUUGAAGUUAAAAAACAACAACGUUUCUUUCGUUUUGUGGGCGAUUCGAUUGAGCACGCGCCACGAGCUAGCUGGCUUCCAGUGCUUGCGUGUGACAAUAGAAGGCUAGUGAUUUCACUUUCGCUUUUUUUUUUUUUUCUUUUUUUUGGGGAAUCAAGAUAAAAGCCAAGAAAAUGAAAAUUGGGCUGUUUCCAUUUGAAGUUAAAAACAGUGUUUCUUUCGGGGCGUCAAUUUGAUAUUUGAAUGGACAGGCAAGUAAGAAAUACAAUUCCUUCAUAGACAAUGACAACGAGGACAUCAAGGCACAUCAUUAUAGUUUGUAGCCCAUCUACAUUUAAACGAUUAAUAAACAAGCUUAGGUGUGCCACUGCUAUUAUUAAUUAUCCCCUGAUCAUUAUAGUUUCUGAAACAGUAAAACAAAACGAAAUUGAAUACAUCAACGAGAUCGCAAUUAUCACUUGUUUAGUUGCGGUAUUUAACUUAAUUUUAAUCUAAUAUAUUUGUUAGUUAAACUUUUAAUAAUCAAAUAAUUUUGACUUAAAAAUAAAAUUAUAGAAAUUAUUAAUUAUUAAAAAUUCACACAUAGCUAUUGUUUUCUCUAUAUAUUGCAGUGUGUACGAUAUUGAGGGUUGAAGCCCAAAGCAUGCCCUAAAAUCCAGAUAAUAAUUAGAUCCGGGCCAAAUAUUCAUCAUUGUGUCGGCUGAUCAGUCGGUGGACAUCUCUAUUGAAAAAAUCUCUGACAUUUCUCUCGACAAACUUAUUACUAAAAAAAAAUCAGUGGUUUUGCCGUCUGAAUAAUGUAGAAAAAUUUGUCUGUGCAUUAAUCUAGAUGUUUGAGGUGAUUUAUACAUCUGUGAUAAAGAUUUAUAGGUUGACUUAUACGUCUGUGGUAUAGAUUUUAUGUAUUUCAUUACAAAAUGCUGGCCGUUAGAACCCUUUCUACAUCUAUUUAUAAGAUUAACGGGUGCCAGUUAUGCCAUUACAAAUUAUCCCCUCAUCAGAUAUUUCGUUAAAAUUCAUUCUGAAACACUAAAACUAAAUAAUCGAACAUGGCUUUGCGGGUCGAUGAUGCCAGAAGCAAUUCGACUGCAAUUAUCACUUGUUUAGUUUCUGUGCUUGCCGUGGUUUACUUGGCAUGGAAUGUGAAAAAAUCAAGGAAAGCAAAUGCUAAACUGCCACCAGGACCUCCCGGCUUGCCUGUAGUCGGAUACCUCCCAUUUCUCGGAACUACUGACUUGCACAAGAAAUUCACGGAAUUAUCCGGAGUUUACGGUCCGAUCUUCAAGCUCUGGCUCGGAAAUAAAUUAUGUGUAGUGGUGAGCUCACCUUCCCUAAUUAGACAAGUGGUUCGUGAUCAAGAUACAACAUUCGCGAACCGUGACCCACCGAAGGCUGCACUAGUGGUCUCCUAUGGUGGCAAUGAUAUUGCAUGGUCCAAUUACGGUCCCGAAUGGAGAAAGUUGCGCAAAUUUUUUGUGGGCAAGAUGAUGAGUAACGCAAGCCUUGAUGCUUGUUAUGCUCUAAGAAAACAAGAGGUUAAAAAUACUAUCAGGGAUUUGUAUAACAACGACAACAAAAUUGGCAAGCCCAUUGACAUUGGUGAAUUGUCGUUUUCAACAUUGGUAUGUGCUAUACAGAACAUGCUGUGGGGUGAAGCGCUUGAAAUAAGAGAGAAAGGGACCACUAAUCUUGGGGCUGGGCUAAAAUUUAAGCUGGCAGAACUCAUGGUGCUUGCGGGAACACCGAAUAUUUCGGAUGUCUUUCCAAUGCUUUCAUGGCUUGACAUACAAGGUAUAGAGAGGAGAGCAAAGAAGAUUUCACUCUGGCUUGAAAAUGUUAUAAAUUCUACUGUUGAACAGCAUAGAAACAAGGAGUCAACUGUUGAAGGUGAAGAAAGAGCGGGGAAAAAUUUUGAAGGAUCAAGGAACAAGAACUUCUUGCAGUUACUAUUGGAGCUUCAAGAAAAUGAUGACAGUGCUUCCUCAAUUAGCAUGAACCAAUUCAAGGCCGUACUCAUGGUAUGUUAAGUAACUAGCAACGAACAGUUAUACAAGCACAGUUGUAUAUUUGCAUGAGUGAUAUUUUCAACCUUUUUUUUUAAUUAGAAUUUUAUUGUCACCUUUUGGACAGGAUAUAAUUACGGCUGGAACCGACACCACAGCUACGAUGGUGGAAUGGACAAUGGCAGAGUUGAUGCAGCAUCCACAAGUAAUGAAGAACGUUCAGGAAGAAUUAGCUCAAGUUGUGGGCAUGGACAGUUGUGUUGAAGAAUUUCACCUGUCUAGAUUAAAGUAUUUAGAUGCUGUGGUGAAGGAAACAUUUCGUCUGCAUCCUGCAGUGCCUUUAUUAGUACCACGCAGAGCAAGCGAGAGUGGCAGCAUUGGUGGCUAUACCAUUCCCAAAGAUACAACUCUUAUGUUGAAUGUUUGGGCUAUCCACAGGGACCCUCACCUUUGGGAUAAUCCCUUAGAAUUUCGACCCGAGAGGUUUCUGAAUGUUGGUGUCGAGAGUAAGUUCGAUUACUCAGGUAACAAUUUUCAGUACUUGCCAUUUGGUUCUGGUAGAAGAAUGUGUGCUGGGAUUCCUCUAGCUGAGAGGAUGCUGAUGUUUGUUUUGGCUUCGUUAUUGCACUCAUUUGAGUGGGAAUUGCCAGCUGGCACAAAGCUAAACUUAUCUGAAAAAUUUGGGAUUGUCAUUAAGAAAAAAGAGCCUUUGGUUGCUAUUCCAACACCAAGACUAUCCAAUUCAGAGCUCUACCAUUAAGACAAAAUGGUUGUGAUGAUUUUGUUAAUUUUCCGAAGAUUUGUAUGUUAUUUAGUUCAAUCGUAAUAAAAUAUUUCAAAUAAGAGUCCUCCGUUGCUUUUUUUUUUUUUUUUUUUUCAACGGCAUAAUCUGUCGUCAUGCUUGUAUUUGGAGCUACUUUGGAAUAAUUAUGUUUGAAUUACAAUUUAUAAAUAUUUACGUUUUAAAUUUUUUAUAAGAGUCUAAAUUUAUACACGUUUAAUAUCCCGCUUCAUAGAUAUUUAACACAAUUUAUAUCAUACAUUGUAUACCCAUUUGUCAUAAAUUAUACUAUUUUGUAUCUCUAAAUAAUAUUACGUAUUGAUAUUAUAAUAUAUAUAUAUAUGUUUAUCAAAAGACUAUACCAUUCAAUAUAUAUUGAAAAGAGAACAAAGAAGAUUUUCUUAUGGUUUAAAAAUAUUAUGAAUUCUGCUGUUGAACAGUAUGGAAACAAGGUCUCUGUUGUUAAAGGUGAAGAAGCAACAGGGAACAAUAUUGAAGGAAGAAAUUUCACAUGUUUAGUUGCUGAAUUUGCCGCUGUAUUCUAUCGGUAGUAGAGUUUUUAUUUUUCUCUAUUAAUUUAAGUCAAUUUUCUAUAACAAAUUCGGUUGAGUUUAAUUGUGUUAUAAUAUAAAUUGAAUGAUAAUAGAAUUUUCAACAAAUAUUUCAAUAUUUCUAUCUCGAUUGUUGAAGUGCCAUUUAUUUGUUAUGCGAUCGAUUUUAAAAUUUAUAAAAUUAUUUGUUACUAAAUUGCAUCAUAUGCUAAAAUCACCUGAAACCUAAUUCCAUAACUAACCCUUUAUUUUUAGUUCUCAAGAAAUCUUGUAAGAACAAAAAUCUUUUAUAACAAAACUUUUACAACACAUUAAUUUGUAACUCAUUCCUGUGCGCGAAUCACUCUCAAUUUCCUUCAAUUGCUGUUUAACAAUCAUCUACUUAUCAAAAUUCAAGCAUAAUCUUUUUUUUUUAAUUUCUUCAUCAUUCUUUAAAAAAAAAAUCAGGAUAUGCUGUUAAAUUUUGAAAUAAAUAAAUUAACCAAAGUUGGUUGAUGUGAGUGGUUCAAUGAUGAGCAUAAUUUAUAUACAUAUUUUACCUUUAAUUAUAUAAUUAUUAGUUAUUUUUAUUAGUUAUUUUUAAUUAAUUGAAUUAUUUUAUUGCAUAGAGAAUUAAUUGGAGAUUGGGAAACAAAAAGUGCAUAAAGAAUAACAAGUUUGGGAAAGCAUCAAUCAAAGCCGUGACGCAAUUAAGAGUUUAUAGCAUAUGAAGCCAAGAGUAAUUUGCACUCAAAAAGAAUUUCAAUUAUUCAAGUGACCUGGACCUGCAUGGCAUUGUAAUGCAUGGAAAGCAACUUAAAGGGGCCCACACUUGGCUUUUACAAUUGGAAAAAGGAAUCCUAGUGCAAGCUUAAUUGAUGAGCACGUGAGUGAGAGCAAAGAAAAUUAAAAGGCCAAGCCUUUUGGCUUAAGGAAAUAACAAGGUCGGUGGGGCCCAUUUUAAAGAGUAAUAUAAAAGCAAGCUUUUGGCUUUUGGAGAGAGGAGCCGCGAGAGGAGGAAAACGCAAGACAAAGAGAAGAAAAUCUGCAGCAGUUCGGCUUCUAUGGUUGGUUUUAUCUCUUUUGUUACUCUUAAUUCAAAUAUGUCUAGUUAAUUUUCUUAUAUUAAAGUUAAGGAUGAAACCCUAUUCAAUGAAAUAAUUAUCUUUUUAUUUAUUUAAUUCCCAUAUAUGUUCUUUAAUGAUUAUGAUUUUUAUUUCACAUGAUUAAUUGGAUGUUAUUAAAAUUUUUUCAUCAAUUCUGUCAUGCAUUAUUGAUUGUUAGGAUUAAUAUUCAAUUAAAUCUAUACUUAGAUUUAUAACGUUUAUACAUGAUUAUCUUUGAUUCUAUGUCUUUCAUUAAAUUGUUUACAUGGAGUGCUUAGGAAAACUUUGACUCUUUGUUAUUCAAUAUGUUCACAUGGGAUACUUAGAUGUCAUACUAUUAAGCGGAAAAAGAACCUAUAUUAGAUUUAAUUAUUUGGGCUUAAUUGUUAUAUCCAUGAGAUGACACAAAUUGAUUUCGAGUUGUCACUCUAAAAUUAGAGAUUAAUGAAUAUUUAGAUAAUUACUAGUUGAAUAGCGGUGGAUUCUGAAACCUUGGUAAUUUCUAUCUUAUUGAAUUCUCCUUUACUUUAAUUGUUUUCUUAGUUUAAUUAAUUUAAUUUCUUUUAAAACUCAAUUUGCUUAACUAGGUUAGAAUUAAUAUUAAUUUUAGAUUUAAAUUAGACUUUUCAAUUUAUAACAAUCCAUGUGGGAUCGACCUCGUUACCACUACUUUAUUUCUAGAUUCGUGCACUUGCGAGUAUAUUAAAAUUUUCACAACAAGUUUUUGGCGCCGUUGCCGGGGAUUGUGCCAGAAAGUCAGUUUAAUCUAGGUUGAUUUGAUUCUUCCACUAGUUAUAAUUUAUGUUGUCUUUUAUUUUAUUAUUAUUUUUAAUUAACAAAAACACACAAAAAAACUUUUAUUUUUCUUUAAAUUCAUUGUUUGGUUGUUUGAUUUCUUUUAUUUUUUAAAUUUUGUUUAUUCUCAUUAUUGUUGGUUUAUUUUAUUUUAUUUUUUUCUUUCCUUGUCUAGUUAGUUUAUGAGUGUUUGGGAAUGUGAUUCAACAAAUCGUUUGGUAAAAGAGAGUCAAAAAUUGAUAGUAGUCAAGUUAGUUCUUCUGAAGUCAUGGAUGACCCAAAUAGAUUAUUGCCAAUACUUCCACCAGUGCAAGCAGAGAAAACCCUUAGAGAAUAUUUUUCACCACUUGCAGCCAACCAACCAUCUUGUAUUGUGUUGCCACAAACUACAGCAACACACUUUGAACUUUUUGAACUUAAGCCCUCAGUCAUCCAACUUUUACCAUCUUUCCAUGGGUUAGAGAGAGAGGAUCCAUAUUUGCACAUUAAGGAAUUUCUUGACAUAUGCUCUACAUUCCGUUUUCAAAAUUUUAAUGAUGAGUUAAUCAGGCUUCGUAUGUUAUCUUUCUCAUUAAAAGACAAAGCAAAAGCUUGGUUGAAUUCGCUUUCUGCUGGGUCUAUAACUACGUGGGAUGAAUUGAAUAAUAAGUUCCUCACCAAGUUUUUCCCUAUGUCUAAAACAAAUGCCCUUAGGAGAGAGAUAAGUGAUUUCUAUUAAAGAGAGGGUGAGCAAUUUUAUGAGUGUUGGGAAAGAUUCAAUGAUUUACUCCUCAAGUGCCCCCACCAUGGUUUUGAGAAAUGGAGACUUAUACAAUGCUUUUAUAACGGUUUAACCAUGUCGAAUCGUCAUAUGGUAGAGUCUAUGAAUGGUGGGAGAUUUUUGAACCUACAUGAAGGGGCUGCAUGGGAUUUCUUUAAUUCACUUUCUGAGAAUUCUCAACAGUGAGAUUUUUCAAGCCAAAGGGAAAAAUCAUCUCAAGUUUCUAGAAAGGGGUUAUAUGAAGUUAAGGAUGAUUUUGAUGUGAAAUCCACUCUAAUUACACUUUCUAGAAAAGUAGAUGCCUUAGCUCUGAACCAAUCAAUGAAUCAUCAUCCUAGUGUAGCUAAUGAGGUUUGUGCUAUUUGUUCUAACUUGUCUCAAACAGCACAAAACUGUCCAUCAUUACCAGUCUAUCCAGAGGCUUAUUCUGAGCAGGUACAUGCCUUACAAUCAUAUGAGAAAACCUCCAAUAAUACAUAUUCACUCACAUAUAAUCCUAAUUGGAGGAAUCACCCUAAUUUUUCUUGGAAACAAAAUCAAUCUUUGUCAAACCAAGGAGGACAACAAUUUAACAUGCCCAAUCAACAAUUUGUCCCUCCUAACCAAGUAUAUCCUCCUGCCCAACAACCUAUAUCUCAAUUUGUUACACCCCAACAAAGAAAACCUUCUUUAGAGGAUACACUUCAAAGUUUCAUUCAGUCAACCUAAUAAGCUUUUCAGUCAAACACUCAAGCUAUUCUAAAGCUUGAACAUCAAUUGGGUCAAUUAGCAACUACUGUAGCGGAGAAAGAAAAAAGAAAAUUCCCCAGUCAAUCAAUUCCUAAUCCUAAAGGAGUGCAUGAAGUUGGAUCGAGUUCAAGCCAUCAGCAUGAAGAAGCAAAAUCAAUUAUGACCUUGAGAAGAGGAAAAUUGUUUGACAACAAAGUGGAGGUUCAAACAAAGAAGACAUCUGAGCCUACUUCUUCAGAUCCAAUUACAUCACAAGAAUCAUCACCAAAUGAUCUUGAAGAGAGUGACCCGCUAGCUUACAUUCCCAAGGCUCAUUUUCCUCAAAGGUUAACAAAGGUAAAGAAAGGGACUUCAACAUGUGAGAUUAUAGAAAUCUUCAAGCAGGUAAGUAUAAACAUCCAUUUACUCGAUGCUAUUAAGCAAGUUCCUUCCUAUGCCAAGUUUUUGAAAGAUUUAUGCACUAAAAAGAGAAAUUUGCAUGUCACUAAAAAGGCGUUUUUAACUGAACAAACUAGCAAUUUACUUCAAUGUAAAAUGCCACCAAAAUUUAAGGAUCCUGGUUCUCCUACUAUUUCAUGUGUUAUAGGGAACCAAUGUUUUGAUAAAGCAUUAUUGGAUUUAGGUGCUAGUGUUAAUCUCUUACCUUAUUCCAUUUACAUGCAGCUUGGACUAGGUGAGUUAAAAUCAACUCCUAUUAUUUUGCAACUUGCUGAUAGGUCAAUGAAAAUACCUCGUGGUAUUAUAGAGGAUGUGUUGAUACAGAUUGACAAAUUUUAUUAUCCUGUUGAUUUUAUUGUUAUUGAUACUCAACAUGUACAUGAUCUUAAGAAACACACUCCACUUAUUCUUGGUCGUCCUUUCUUAGCUACAGCUGAUGCUCAUAUUAGUUGCAGGACUUGAAACAUGCAAUUGUCUUUUGGUAACAUGACCAUGGAAUUAAAUAUUUUUAAUGUUCCCAAGCAGGCACAAGAAGAUGAUGAAGUCGUUGAAGUAGAUAUGAUAGAAGCAUCAAUUGAUGACUCACUUAUUUCUAACCAUUGUGACAAUCCAUUAAUACCUUGCACAACUGACUCUGAUUUCUCUAUUGAUGUUGAUAGUGAUAUUGAAGAAGUUAAUGCUUUACUUGAUUCGACUCUUAUCAUAGAUCUAAUUAAGUGGAAAGAAAAGAUAAGAUUGAGCCACUUCCUCCUGAAGAGAAAAGUGCAACAUAGGUCACAUUCUGACAUAAAAAAGGUGGUAAGAUCUAAAACGCUUAAAUUAUUAGAUUUUUAUACUACUUUAGAUAACUCUCAGGAAAGCUUAGAACAGAAGAGAUCAAAGCAAUGCGAUAUUGAGGAGUUUCAUUACCAUCAUCCUUUUAUGGAUAAAAUGCUCCAGUGCUUAAUCAAUUAUGCUUUUUGGUAUUUUCUAUAUAAUUGCUUUAAUUUUCACCAAAUUCUUAUUGAUCCUGGUUGAUUUGUUGUUUACAUUAAUUAGUUAGUUAGUCGGAUUUUUUUAUUAUUAUUUAUAUUUCUUCUAACGUUUUCUUUUGAGUUGUCAUUCUUUUAAGUUUUCCUAGCUCAGUCAGGUGUGUUCUCUCCAACUUUCUCUUUUAUUAUUUAUGUUUUUAUUUUUCAUCUUUUUGCGUGCAUAUCUUUUAUUUAUGACACAUUGAGGACAAUGUUCCGAAUAAGUUUGGGGGUGGGAAUAAUGUUGCUUUGUUUGUUAAAAAAAACUAAAAAAAAAUUUCAAAAAUUCAAAAAAAAAUUGUGUUUUUUUUGUUUUUACGUGAAAAGCCAAUGAUAAAAACUUGAUUGACAAUGAAUAUGGUUUUUAGAAAGGGUUUAAUAUUGUCUUAAUUUAUACUUGAUUCUUAUGUUAGUUCCUCUUGAUUGAGAUUCUUUAAAAUAUAAGCACUAAUAUCAAUUCUUUCAUAAUUUUGACUUGAAAUUUGAGAUUGACGCAGCCUGAGUUGAGAAUUUUAGAUAGAGUAAAUGACUGUUUGUCUUUAUUCUUAUCUCCACAAUACAAAAUAGUAUACACAGGCACCAAAGUCAGAAAUAACUACCUAUAAUCCUUAAGAGUGAAGCUAUCCUUGAGUAAUUUAGGCCUAUGUACCACAAGUAUGUAGAGGAUAAUCUACCAUGAGAAGAAUGCUACCUUAAGGGGUAGAGUGAAAGCUCCUGACUAUGGUUAAAAAAAAAAGAAGAAGAAAAAGAGAAAGAAAAAAUCAAAUCAAGUGCAUGUGCUGAAAAAAAAAUCAAAAGAAAAUGCACAUAAAAGCCUGUGAAAAAAAAAUUGGAGAUUAAGAUGAUAAGAUUAGCUUGACCUACUCUUUUCUUUUUUUGAGGCGAAGGUUGUUGAUAUUGAAGAUUUUAGGAAUGAAUUUGAUUGAAUUGAUUUCACACACACACAACAAGAAUCGAAAGAGAGAUGGGAUUGAUUAUUGAAUUAAAGUUAGAACUUUGCCAAUAUUUGAAAUUUUGUUUGAGCUAUAUAAUUUAUGCAAUCUUUGAGGGUAUUUUCAUAUUUUAUUUAAAGUUUUUUUUUCUUUUUAUUUUAUUUUAUUUAUUUUUUAUUUUUUUAAAAUGAUGUUUGUGGGUGUCAUCACUGAAGCUCUCACGAGACUAUAACUCGUCCACUAGGGGUUUAAAGGCUUGUUGCAUACGCUAAAUGCAAUCGCGAUUACCUGCGAAAAUGGUUUAGUUAGGAUUUACUUUUUGUUUUGUUAUUUUUUUUUUUUUUUUUAGUUUUAGCUUUGCUCGAGGACUAGCAAAAUCUAAGUUUGGGGGUAUUUGAUGAGCAUAAUUUAUAUACAUAUUUUACCUUUAAUUAUAUAAUUAUUAGUUAUCUUUAUUAGUUAUUUUUAAUUAAUUGAAUUAUUUUAUUGCAUAGGGAAUUAAUUGGAGAUUGGGAAACAAAAAGUGCAUAAAGAAUAACAAGUUUGGGAAAGCAUCAAUCAAAGCCAUGACACAAUUAAGAGUUUAUAGCAUAUGAAGGCAAGAGUAAUUUGCACUAAAAAAGAAUUUCAAUUAUUCAAGUGAUCUGGACGUGCAUAGUAUUGUAAUGCAUGGAAAGCAACUUAAAGGGGCCCACACUUGGCUUUUACAAUUGGAAAAAGGAAUCCUAGUGCAAGCUUAAUUGGUGAGCACGUGAGUGAGAGCAAAGAAAAUUAAAAGGCCAAGCCUUUUGGCUUAAGGAAAUAACAAGGUCGGUGGGGCCCAUUUUAAAGAGUAAUAUAAAAGCAAGCUUUUGGCUUUUGGAGAGAGAAGCCGCCAGAGGAGGAAAACGCGAGACAAAGAGAAGAAAAUAUGCCGCAGUUCGACUUCUAUGGUUGGUUUUAUCUCUUUUGUUACUCUUAAUUCAAGUAUGUCUAGCUAAUUUUCUUAUAUUGAAGUUAAGGAUGAAAUCAUAUUCAAUGAAAUAAUUAUCUUUUUAUUUAUUUAAUUCCCAUAUAUGUUCUUUAAUGAUUAUGAUUUUUAUUUCACAUGAUUAAUUGGAUGUUAUUAAAAUCUUUUCAUCAAUUCUGUCAUAUAUUAUUGAUUGUUAUGAUUAAUAUUAAAUUAAAUCUAUACUUGGAUUUAUAAAGUUUAUACAUGAUUAUCUUUGAUUCUAUGUCUUUCAUUAAAUUGUUUACAUGGAGUGCCUAGGAAAACUUUGACUCUUUGUUAUUCAAUAUGUUCACAUGGGAUACUUAGAUGUCGUACUAUUAAGCGGAAAAAGAACCUAUAUUAGAUUUAAUUAUUUGGGCUUAAUUGUUAUAUCCAUGAGAUGACAUAGAUUGAUUUCGAGUUGUCACUCUAAAAUUGGGGAUUAAUGAAUAUUUAGAUAAUUACUAGUUGAAUAGUGGUGGAUUCUGAAACCUUGGUAAUUUCUAUCUUAUUGAAUUCUCCUUUACUUUAAUUGUUUUCUUAGUUUAAUUAGUUUAAUUUCUCUUAAAACUCAAUUCGCUCAACUAGGUUAGAAUUAAUAUUAAUUUUAGAUUUAAAUUAGACUUUUCAAUUUAUAACAAUCCCUGUGGGAUCGACCUCGUUACCACUACUCUAUUUCUAGAUUCGUGCGCUUGCGAGUAUAUUAAAAUUUUCACAACAUUCGGCACUCUCACUCCUUAAGAGAGGUCAGGGGUUCAAGCCUCGCUCUCGUAUGGAGUCACCACUUUGACCAGCACUUUACCCCUUACAGACCGACCCGGUGCGAGCAUGAAUUAGUCUGGGUUGUGGUACGGGCUUAAAGGUGCCUCCCACAAUUGAGACCCACUCAGGACCACCUCGUGGUUCGGACAAAAAAAAAAUUGAAAUAAAUUAUCUCAAAAUAAUUACUAACCAGAAAAAACAAAGGGGUUUAACUAGGUUAUGCAUACCUUUGAAAAUUAUAUGUUGAUCGAUAAGCAUGAUGAUCACGAUUGAGGAGUUUAAUUAAAAUUUAUAAGAUUUUAAAAUUAAUCAGGGUUAAAUUCUAAAUUUUAGAAAGAGAGGUUUUGUGAGAAUGCUGAAAGGGUGUUAAUAGUUCCACUCUUUUUUAAAAAAACCAUAGUCAUCAUUUUUCCCGAUUUCUUCUUCCCAUCUCCAUCUUAUUUAGAAAUUUCCCAGAGCCUUUGUUUCCCACCAUUCAUUUUUCUUCUUUCUAAUUUAAGAUUAUAGUAUUAUAAAAAUAAUUACUCACAUUUUAUCAAACACCUCCAUUAUACCAAGGCCUUGUUUUAGUAGUAGGCUUUUAUUAUCUCAAUAAAAUUGAAAAAACAAAGCUCAAUAAUAUUGGAAAAAAAACCUACCCAUAUUUGUAACUUUAAUUUAUUAUUCUCCAUAGACCUACUUUUUAGCUUUGAAUUUUGUUGGAGCCAUAUAUAAACAGAAUAUGUUGAAAUCAGCACAAAAAAAAAACUAAUUAUAUAAUUUUUGUUCCCAAGGACACGACUGUGUGAUUUUUAAGAAGUUUUGUUUGGCUGGCCACUUAGGUUUAAAUCUUGGUGGAGAUUAGGGGUUAAGAAAUAAAUUUGGACUUUGCACACCCCUUUAACUUUUAAAAAGAAUGAAAAAAACUAAUUAAUUAAUCUUUAUUUUAUUUAUUAAAUGUCAUAAUCAUAUGCAUAUUUUAUUUGUUAUCUUUCUAUUUAAAAGAUAGGAGGGCAAAUAAAACUGAAAUAAAUGUUUAUCCCUAUCUCCAUCUUUCAAGUUCCAUAGUUAGGUGACCAGCUAAAGAAAAUUAAUUGAAAGUUACUCCAUCAAAUUAAAAAAAAUUAUUUAUUUAAUUUGUGGAGAUGUAGAAAAUCAAACCCCAUACCUUUUCGCAUGCAAAAGUGUCAACCUGGUCUAGCUAUGUUGCAACAGUAAACAUAUUUUAAUACAUGACUAUCAUCUUUUAUCCUAAAUACUACUAUAACUAUGGGUUCAGUUAUGCUGUAACUGUGGUAUGGUACCACAGUUGUUUUCAACCAUUAAAUUCAACUUAUAUAACUAUGCAACUGUAGAUCUAACGGCUGAAAGCAACUAUGGUACCAUACCACAGUUGCAACAUAGUUUUGCCCCUAUAACUCAUAACAUUCAAUUGAAAUAAUAAAUGUUAACACUUGGCUAUAAAUAAAGGUUUUGUACUUGAAUCUUCAUGCAUGACCUUCAUUCCUUUAUUGACUUUGCUAACACAGAUUUUGAGGCAUUAAAACUAAAUAAUAAUUGACUUUGUGGGCCGAGGAUGCCAGCAACAAGGAGACCACAAUUAUCACUAGUUAAGUUACUCUAAUUGCCGUUGUCUUAUAUUCAUAAAAUAUUAGUAAUAAGAUUAUUGUAGAAUUUUUUUAUAUUAAAAUUAAGUCAAUUUGUUAUAACAAAUUUAGUUGAGUUUAAUCGUGUUACUACAUACAUUGAAUAAUAAUAGAAUUCUCGACAAAUAUUUCAAUAUUUUUAUCCCAAGCGUUGGAGUGGCAUUUAUUUGUUAGACAAUCGAUUUUAGAACUUAUAAAAUUAUUCGUUACUGAAUUGCACCAUAUGCUGCAUGACCUGAAACUUAAUAAACGGAACGUAGCGUUGGCAACAUUCACUGUCAUGACUUUGUGACAUUAGAAUUAAAUUUUUUUGCACAUUUAAUUUGUUUACUUCCAAAUUAAUAUUUAACAAAAUAUUUUUUCACAUUAUCAAUGGACAAAACUCCAACGAAAAUAACUAUACAAUAUAUGCUAGUAUUGUAUGCCAUAUCAUCUGUAAUUUUGUCAGGAUCGAUCAUUUUAAUUUUUAAGCAAAACUUUUUAUCAAUGGACAAACACCUCACACAGCUUGUCAGAGGCAUUAUUAUGAUGGAAAACUGAUAAACAGUGAACUCGAAACUCAAUUACUACAAGUCGUUUAGAGGAUUCAGUCUUGGAUGACUUGUCACUUGUGGAAUUCUUGAAGCCAGAACCGACAUAAUCUCAGUCGUCAUUCUGUCUUAAGUAAUACACAUGGUUUGCAUGUGUGUUGAAGCUGACUCUUUGCUUGGAUCAAGAAACGACGUCUUUGAGUGCCGUUUCUUAAACACACUUUAAAUCAGCUUGUGUCAAGCACGUGAGGUAGAGCUUUUUGAAUAGAUUUGGCGGGAAUGGUAGUUAGUGUAACAACCCAGAAAUAGAGGUUAAAAGGUGAAGGCUUUGUCAUCAUCUACACAUGAUUUGGGAAACAUUGAGAGUAGAGAAAAAGAUAGAGAGAGAAAGGGGUUAACAAGUUCUUGUUCUCUGUAAAUCGAUUUAUAUUCUUGUAAAGUUUGUGAUCUCAAUUAGUGAAAGACUGUUGCUUUGUUUCCAGUGGAUGUAGGCACCACUUCUUGGUGCUGAACCACUUAUACUUGGUGUCAUAUUGUUUCUUUAAUGCUUUGAUUCUUGCGUGUGAUUGUUGCUGGAUAAUCUGUGCUGUUAAUUCUCAAACCAUUGAUACAGAAUUAAUGUCUUGGGGAGAAUUUGGUUAGUCUUAUCAAAGCCGAAUUCACAACAAAUUGGUAUCAGAGCCCUCUUUUCUGUAUCAAGGUUCAAGAAAUGACUAACAAGGUGGAUCUUGAGAAGUUCAAUGGUCAGAAUGAUUUCAAUAUGUGGAGGAUCAAGAUGGAAGCAUUGUUAAUCACACAAGGUCUGGGAGAUGCCAUUGAUCCAGUCAUUAAGAGUGAAAAUGCAGAAGCCUAUUCUUCAAGAACUCCAGAACAGAUGGCUAAGAUUGAAAAAAAGGCAAGAAGCACCAUCAUCCUCAGUCUUGGUGACUUAGUGAUAAGGGAAGUUGCCAAGAAAAAGACUGUUGCUAGGCUCUGGGCAAAACUGGAACAAUUGUAUAUGACAAAGUCCUUAGCAAACAGGCUAUACAUCAAGAAAAAGAUGUUCUCACUGAGGAUGAUUGAAGGAGCAUCACUUGAUGAACACAUAGAUGAGUUUAAUAAAGUUUGUGAUGAACUGGAAACAAUUGAUGAAGGACUGAGUGAUGAGAGCAAGGCUUUGCUGUUAAUCAGUUCUUCACCAAAAUCAUAUGAACAUUUUGUGGAUGCCUUGUUAUAUGGAAGGCAAUCACUCUCCUUGGAAGAGGUUAAAUCUACUCUUGGUACCAAGAAGUUAAAAGAAAAACAAGAUAACUCAGAGAGUGAAUCAAGUGAAGGGCUGAUGGCAAGGGGCAGAUCUGAAAAAAAGGAGUACAAAGGAAAAAAACAAGGGAGAUCAAAGUCAAAGCAGAAACAUUUGAAGUGUUUUCACUGCCACAAAGAAGGGCAUUUCAAGAGGGAUUGCCCUGAGAGAAAAACAAAGCAAAAGGAAUCAAAAGACAAAUCUGGAAAUACAGCAAUAGCCACAGAAGAAACCAGUUUUGAGAUAGCUGAAGUCCUCAUUGCCACAAAAGAAAAAAACUCAAGGUCAGUGGGUACUAGACUCUGGAUGUACUUUUCAUAUGAGUCCAAAUAGAAAUUACUUUACUACAUAUCAGUCCUGUGAUGGGGGUAUGGUGCUGAUGGGAAAUAAUUCAGUUUGUAAAGCAGUUGGGAUUGGGACUGUAAGCCUUAAGAUGUAUGAUGGCAUGGUUAGAGAACUAACUCAGUUUAGGCAUGUUCCUGAGCUUAAAAGGAACCUAAUAUCUAUUGGCAUGCUUGAUCAAACUGGAUGUGUCAAUAAGGCUGAAAAUGGGUCAUUGAAAGUUAUCAGAGGCUCAAUAGUCAUAAUGAAAAGUUCCAAGCAAAAUGGUUUGUAUGUGUUGAAUGGACAUACAACUGUUGGAGAGGCAAGUGUCACUGAGAAGAGUGAAGACAAAGCAAGACUAUGGCACUUGAGGUUGGGGCAUAUGAGUGAAAGGGGAUUGAAGGAGCUUCAAAAGAAUGGGGUGUUUGGAAGUGACAAGCUAAGUUCUUUGGGGUUCUGUGAAGACUGUAUCCUAGGGAAGGCUUCCAAUCUCAAGUUUGAAUCUGCAGUUCAUUCUACCAAAGAGAAGCUUGCAUAUAUACACUCUGAUAUGUGGGGGCCUGCACAGGUAAAUUCUCUUGGUGGCUUUAAGUAUUUCUUAUCCUUAAUAGAUGACUAUUCAAGGAUGGUUUGGGUGUAUGUACUCAAAACCAAAGAUGAAGCUUUGGAAAAGUUUUAGAGGUGGAAAAUUCUGGUAGAAACACAGACAAGUUUGAAAGUAAAAGCUCUAAGAACAGAUAAUGAAUUGGAAUUCUGCAACAAAGAGUUUGGAGACUUUUGUAAAAGACAUGAGAUUAUGAGGCACAAAACAGUCAUACACACACCUCAGCAAAAUGGUUUUGCUGAGAGAAUGAACAGAACCUUAAUGGACAAGGUGAGGUGUAUACUGCUAUACUCAAAGCUGCCUAAGUCACUCUGGGCAGAGGCCUUAAACACAGCAUGUUACUUGGUAAAUAUAAGUCCAUCUACAGCAAUAGAAUGCAAAACACCUAUCGAGCUAUGGUCUGGAAGGGUUGCAGAUUACUUUAAACUGAGAAUCUUUGGAUGUGUUGCUUAUGCAUAUGUCAAACAAGGCAAAUUGGAGCCAAGAGCUUUAAGGUGUAGAUUUCUAGGAUACCCUGAUGGAGUUAAAGGCUAUAGGCUAUGGUGCAUUGAUUUGAAGCCACCAAAAUGCAUUAUCAGCAGGGAUGUAACUUUCAAUGAGUCAGAAAUCUUGAACAAAUCCAAAACCACUUAAUCCAAAGAUCAUAUAUCAGAAACAAGACCUGGGAGUGUUCAGUUUGAGGUGGAGUCCUAUGAACAAGAUAGGACUGAAUCAGAAACUGAAGGAGAUUCAGGAAGGGUUACUGAUGGAUUUGAUGUUGUUCAGGAGUCAGAGCCAGCUGAGAAUGAAGAUAAUUCUUAUCAGUUGGUCAGGGAUAGAAAGAAGAGAGCUGUAAGACCACCUAAGAGGUAUACAAUAGCAGAUUUCAUAGCUUAUACAUUAACAGUUGCACAAGAGGUAAAUGAGGAAGAGCUAAGAACCUAUAAAGAAGCUAUAAACAGCAUGGAUAAGAUGAAAUGGAAGGAGGCUAUGGAUGAGGAAAUUGAAUCACUAAUGAAAAAUGGAACUUGGAAGCUGAUAGUUAGACUAGAAAAAAGGAAGACUGUUAGCUGCAAAUGGAUCUUCAAAGUUAAGGAAGGUAUAUCUGAUGCUGAACCUAGUAGGUUUAAAGCUAGGCUGGUAGCAAGAGGCUUCACACAAAGAGAGGGGAUUGAUUUCCAUGAAAUCUUCUCUCUAGUUGUGAAACAUGCCUCCAUCAGAGUCAUCUUAGCUUUAGUUGCCAUUCAAGACAUGUACCUGGAGCAUAUGGAUGUUAAAACAGCCUUCCUGCAUGGUGAAUUACAAGAAGAAAUUGUAAUGGAACAGCCUGGGGGGUAUGUGGUGUCUAGUAAGGAAAAUCAUGUGUGCUUACUAAAGAAAUAUUUAUAUGGAUUAAAGCAGUCUCCUAGGCAAUGGUACUUGAAGUUUGAUAGUUUUAUGACAAAACAUGCCUACAAGAAAUGCAAUUAUGAUUGUUGCGUGUACUUUAGGGACAUUGGUGAUGGAAAGAUGAUUUAUCUUAUGCUGUAUAUGGAUGACAUGCUUAUAGCAUGUCACAGCAUAGAUGAAAUCAGUCAUUUAAAGAAUCUCUUGAGCAGUGAAUUCGAUAUGAAAGAUCUUGGAGCUGUAAGGAAGAUCUUAGGUAUGGAAAUUAUCAGAGACAGGAGAAGGAAGCUUAUGUUUUUAACCCAACAGAGCUAUGUUAAGAAGGUGUUGCUUAGAUUUGGGAUGCAUGAAUCCAAGUCUGUUCAAACACCUUUGGCAAAUCACUUCAAGCUGUCUGCUGCACAUUGUCCACAAACUGAUGCAGAGCAAGGAAAAAUGGCAAGGAUACCUUACUCCAGUGCAGUUGGGAGCCUCAUGUAUGCCAUGGUUCUCACUAGACAUGAUAUCUCACAUGCUGUGAGUAUAGUGAGUAGAUUCAUGGCAAAUCCAGGUUAUGAGCAUUGGAGGGCAGUCCAGUGGAUAAUGAGGUACCUGAAAGGCACUAUGGAGUUUGGUCUGCUAUAUGGAGGGUUAAAACAGGAAGGGCACAAGCUGGUGGGGUAUGUUGACUCAGACUUCGCUGGAGAUCUUGAUAAAAGGAGGUCUCAGACAUGUUUUAUAUUCACUUUGGGAGGCUGCACUGUGAACUGGAAAGCUACUCUGCAAAGUGUGGUAGCUUUGUCCACAACUGAAGCCGAAUAUACAGCAGCUGCAGAAGCUUUUAAGGAAGUCAUCUGGUUAAAAGGAAUGGUCUCAGAGUUAGGAGCAAAACAAGAAACAGUUGAAGUAUACUGUGAUAGCCAGAGUGCAAUACAUUUGAGUAAAAACCAGACCCAUCAUGAAGGAACAAAACAUAUUGAUGUAAAGCUUCAUUUUGUAAGACUUGAAGUUUCAAAGGGAACUGUGAAGAUGCUCGAGGUUCACACUGAUCAAAAUCCAACCGAUAUGUUGACUAAAGCUGUGCCUUCUGCCAAGCUCAACUUCUGUUUGAGCUUAGCAGGAAUUUGCAGUUUCUGAUCAGCUGCAAAAGAAAGGGAAUAAAGUAUACAGGAGUAGCUAGAGUUCAGAGUUCACACUGAUUAAAAGGUGCAGGCUUUGUCAUCGUCUACACAUGAUUUGGGAAACACAGAGAGUAGAGAAAAAGAUAGAGAGAGAAAGGGGUUAACAAGUUCUUGUUCUCUGUAAAUCGAUUUCUAUUCUUGUAAAGUUUGUGAUCUCAAUUAGUGAAAGAUUGUUGCUUUGUUUCCAGUGGAUGUAGGCACCACUUCUUGGUGCUGAACCACUUAUGCUUGGUGUCAUAUUGUUUCUUUAAUGCUUUGAUUCUUGCGUGUGAUUGUUGCUGGAUAAUCUGUGCUGUUAAUUCUCAAACCAUUGAUACAGAAUUAAUGUCUUGGGGAGAAUUUGGUUAGUCUUAUCAAAGCCGAAUUCACAACAAAAACUGUAAUGGUAUAUCUUGAAUUAUUGGUAGAAUAGUUCUUUGGAGCAAUAAAAACAGAUAAGACAGAUGAGAAAAUUGUCAAUACCCCACCGCAAAAGCAAAAGAAAACAAGGAAAGGAGACAAAAGAGGAAGAAGAAAAAGAAAAAAGAACGAAGAAAAAAAUGGUGCCGUGCGGUAUAGGCAAGAAGAAAAAAUAAUAAAAAAUAAUAAAAUAAUAGUGCACAACAAUCAUUUGAUUGCUAUAAAUAAAAGGCGUUUCCCUCAUUUUAUUCAUCGAAUUCUUCAGUUCCUUUCAAGCGAUUUAAGAGUCUAGUGAUUUGAGAGUUUGGGUGUAGUAUGAUUUUGGGUAGUGAGCUAAAAUACUACAAUACUUGUAACUCAUUUUUAUUAGUAAAAUAUUUUCCUUCUGACUUCGCCCGUGGACGUAUGCUAAAAGCCGAAUCACGUAAUUUCUGGUGUCCCUAUGUGAUUAUGUGUCUCAUUAUUUCUUAAUUUCACUUUAGUUGCGUGUCUGCGACACCCCUCAAUUUAUUAACAAAAAAUGGCCAAAAUUAUAUAAGUGACCCAAAUUUUUUUGUUAUUUCCAAGAAAUCCCCAAUCUGAAUGGGCUAGACCAGAGGGAGGCAAGUUAGAAAUACAUUUCCUUCAUAGACAAUAACAGUGAUGAGUCGAUGACAUCAAGCCACGUCGGUAUCAAUAUUGAAUUAAAGGUGCAAUUAUUCAGCCAAUGAACCUUACACAUCAAGAUAAAAGUCAAGAAAAUGAAAAUUUAUCCCAAUUAAAACACUUUCUGGCUGCAUUUAGUUGUUUCCAUUAGAAGUUAAAAACAACGUUUCUUUCGUUUUGUGGGCAACUCAACUGAGUUAGCUGGCUUCUAGUGCUAGUAUGUGAAAAUAGAAGGCUAAUGAUUUAUUUAUUAUCUUUUGACAAAAUUAUUAAAGAUAUAAUAGAUUUUCUAUGAUACAAGUGAAAAAUCACAUCAACAUAGCUUUCAAUCUACAGCAGCUAGCGUUUACCAAACACUUUGUUGUAGCUUUUAAGCUAUAGCUGCCCAACCUCAAUCUCAAACGCACCCUUAAUAGGUUGAUUGAAUUUGUGAGAUAUGGAUUCCACAUAUCUCAUGACCUAGUAAUUAUACAAGUGGUUCGUGAUCAAGACACAACAUUUGCUUCCGGCCUAGUGACCCAGCAAUCGCUGCACUGGUCGCCACCUAUGGUGCCGACGAUAUUGCAUGGUCCAAUUGUGGCCUUGAAUGGAAAAAGUUGAGCAAAUUAUUUGUGGACACGAUGAUAAGUAACGCAAGCCUUGAUGCUAGUUAUGGUCAAAGAAAACAAGAGGUUAAGAAUACUAUCAGAGAUAUUCAUAACAACAAAAAGGAAAAAAAAAAGGCAUUUGCAAGCCCAUUGAUAUUGGUGAAUUGUCGAUUUCAACUUUGGCAUGUGUAAUCCAGAACCUGCGCGCUGUGGUAUGGCGCUGGCACGCUUGCAUUAACGAGGGGACAAGUCUUGGGGCUGAGCUAACAUUUAAGCUCGCAGAACUCAUGGUGCUAAUGGGAACACCAAAUAUUUUUUUGACAUAUUUUGGUGCUUUCAUGGUUUAAUUCAAGGUAUAGAAAGGAGUGUUGAGAAUGUCAAAUAAAACGGCAUUGAAUGGAAGUUGUCAAAGACACGAUCCGCACCGAACGGCAACGACACGGUUGCUAAAAAUCCUUCCAUAAUAUGCAUAUCUAAUUUUUUAAAAAGUGUAACCUCUGCAUUUAUAAAUAUACUCAAUGUAUAAUGUUUUACUUAAGAAAUGAAAAACUUGUUUGUUCAAGGAGAAUAAAGAAAAUUUUUCUAUGAUUUUUUUAUGGUUUGAACAAAGAAGGUUUUAAUGAGUAUUAUAGACCUCGAUUGAAUGUUCGAAUGUAUAAUAAAAGAGAAACUGUCACAUAAAUGACAAAGAUACUUGGAAAAAAAAAAAGGGCAGCAAUAGAGAAUUAGAUUCGACUGCACAAAUAACUAGUUAAUUCAUCAAUACAUCAUUUUCUUGCUAGAAAAUGACAAUUAUGACAGCAAGCCACGAUAGUGUCAAUAUUGAAAUUGAUUUGCAAUUAUUCAGCCAAUGUGCCUUACACGUCAAGAUAAAAGUCAAGAAAAUGAAAGUUAAUAUCAAUUAAAACACUUCCUGGGCCGCAUUUAGCUCCAGUUUUUGUGGUAGGAAAACAAAGUUUUGUUUUAAAUUCACAUGGUGUGCACUUCCUAUAUAAAUCUAGAGUUGUGUCCCACGUUGAACAAUAAAGGAAAGUCACCUAAAUAUACAUGUAGGAUAAGUUACUUUAUUUAGUAAGUUUGUAUUUUCUUCUUUCUUCUAGUUUACAUAUAAAUUUGAUUAGAUAACUUAACACAUAUUUUAAUACUUGAUCAGAAGCCCUACGUACAGGUGGAUCUAGAAACUUGAUUUCUAAGAGUAAUACUAUAAUAAAAAAAUAAUGAUUCAUAGAACCAAUAUCAAAAUUUGUUUACAAGAUUACCCCCACUCAAAGGUAAUUUUCAUAGAAAUUAAUAGGAAAUUUAAUUGUUAGUGGGGUCAAAUUGCCCCCACACUCUGAAUGUAGAUCCACGCCCGACCCUGAGUCAAGUAUAUUUUGCCACAUAUACUCUGAAUGUCGGCAGGAAAAAUCUUCCACUUUAGUUUAAAAUUUUCACUUAAAAUUUAUUUACGUUAAUAAAGUUGGUAAAGGAAAUGAGUUUAAUUAAAGAAUAUUAUAGGAGAAAUUCUAUUGUUUGGCUUUUAAUAAAUUAAUUAAUAGGUUUAAAAAGAUUAAUAUACAUCAAAAUAUUAUUAGUUGGUGGUGGUUCCACAUCGGACUAAGACGUGGCACCUUACUUGUGAGAUUAAGACAAUCAGGCUUAGACUAUUUAAAUAUGUUUGAAGCUUAGAUGGCACCGCUUCAAUUUGCAUUAAUGAAUGUCAUUCUUUACCCUAAUUACUACGUAAUUGAUAACAUGCAAUUGAAAUAACUAAUAUUAGCACUUGGCUAUAAAUGAACUAAAGGCCGUGCAAUUGAAUCUUUACUUGAUCACUUCAUUCCUUUAUUUUGCUAACACAGAUUUUGAGAUAUUAAAACGAAAUAAUAAUUGAAUCUGGCUUUGUGGGUCGAUGAUGCCAGCAACAACGAGACCACAAUUAUCACUUGUUUAUUUGCUGUAUUUGACGUUGUUUCAUAUUGGUAGUAAUAACUAAUAAGGUCGUUGUAGAGUUUUUAAUCUUUUUUUUUAUAUUAAUCACGAGGUAUCCUGGGGAGGGCCCCAACUGUGGGAGGCACCUUUAAGCUCGUACCACAACCCAGACUAGAAGUCCCCGCUCGAACCGGGAGGCACAGUUUUUAAUCUUUUUUAUAUUAAAGUUAAGUCAAUUUGUUAUAAAUAAAUAAAAAAUUGGUUGAGUUUAAUUAUAUUGCUAUGUACAUUAAAUAAUUAUAAUAUUCUCGAGGGAAAAAGACACCUAGAACCUCAAGGUUUGGGGAAAUGGUCACAAAAACUCCUAAGUUUUAAAAAAGGAACACUAAAAUCUUUUUUUACCCAUAAUACCCUUUGACUAUAGUAAUUAGAAAAUUGACUUUAAAGGUUUUUAAAUAAUACAAAUUUAAUAUAAAUCAUAUAAUCUAUCUAGUACACUAAUAAUAUUAAAUUAUUUUUUAUAUUUAAAAUAAUGUUAAAAAAUUUAAAUUAUUAUAUUUAUUUUAAUAAUAUAUUUAUAAAAUUAUAAAGAUUUUAAAUAAAUCUUUGGAUUGAAUAUAUUUUACAAUUAAAAGUCUUCCUAUUAAUAAUAUUAAAAUUAAAUUUUAAGUAAUAUAUAUUCAAAAUAUUUUUAAUUUAAUUUUAUUUAUUUUAAUAUUAUGUUUCUAUCUAUUAUUAAAAAUUACUUUAAUAUAAUAAAAUAGGUCUAAUAGAUUGAAAAAUAUGAAAAUAUUUUUAAAAUUUUAAAUUAUUUUGAAAUGUAUAUAUUAUUACAUUUAUUUCAAUGUCAUAUUUCCAUUUAUUAUAAAAUUUUGGGGUUAUUUUUUUGGGAAUUUAUAGAGUCAAAGAGCAUUAUGGUUAAAAAAGAGUCUUGGUGUCCCUUAUUGAAAACUUUAGAGUUUUUGUGACCAUUUUCCUAAAUCUUGGGGGUGUUGAAGUGGCACUUAUUGUAAGAUUGAUUUUAAAAUAUGUAAAAUUAAUUUUAUUACAUUACCAUAUGCUACAUCACCUGAAACUUAAUAAAUGGAACGUAGCAUUACUCCACGUUCACCGUUAUGACCUUAUGACAUUAGAAUUAAAAUCUUUCGUACGUUUAAAUUGUUUACUUCCAAAUUAAUCUUUCGUAAAUAUUUUGUACAGAUCUUAUCGGAGUUAGCGUGUUCAUUACAGUGUUUCUUUUCUUUUAUCCUUUCUUUUGAAACGUAUUUCCUGUGGACAAGGAAAGCAAAUAAUACCCUGCCACCAGGACCUCGCGGCUUGCCUGUAAUCGGAUACCUUCCAUUUCUCGGAAUUACUGACUUACACAAGACAUUCACGGAAUUAGCUGGUCUAUAUGGCCCGAUCUUCAAACUCUGGCUUGGCAACAAAUUGUGUGUAGUGGUUAGCUCGCCUUCAACUAGUUCUAUAAGAAUAUCCCUUUUAAGGGAUUCUCUCUCUGCAAAAUUUUUUUAUCUUCUGGUGCAUAAUAAAAACUUAUGCCACUUCAUUAACCACAGAUAUCUUUUGAGGAAACGAUGUUUCGUUUUCUUUUGUUUUUUCCUUCCUAAUCCUCGCAUAUCGUGUGAAGGCUAAUAUAUCCAAGAAUCUAAAUCUCUGUAAAUCUUUUUCUAUCCAAAUCUACAUAAUAAUUUAAUCCAUGCACAAUAUCUAUAAUUAUAUCGGCUGUCGGCUGAUUUCGUGGAGGGGGCGGCAGUUCAAAUUUUUUACGUGCAUGUUGGAUGGACGUCUCUAUUAAAGGAGAGCCACCACUUGCAUGGUAAUUUUUUUAAAUAAAUAUAUACAUUUCAAAAUAUUAUUUCAUUGUUGUAUAGUUAACAUGUCACCUUAGAUGUAUUUUAGAACUUCUCCUAUUAAAGAUAAUCUCAUGCAGUGAUACUUCUCGUGAUCUAAUCAUUAGUAGAAUCUAUAAUUUCGCUACUGUAAUAAAAUCUGUCCCUACCCUAUAUGAAUGUAGAUAUUUGACGCGAUUUGUAAUUGCUUCCGACAGGAAAACAGCAAUAGUUUAAUUGAAAUUUGUGGUAUGGAUUCCACGAAUCUUAUGACAGAAUACUGACCACUCCAACCCUAUCCACAUUUACACGAUUAAAACACAAGCUUAGAUGUGACAAUGCAUUUGUCACUUUUGUUCAAAUUCAUCCUGAAACACUAUACACUAAAUAAUCGAAUAUGGCUUCGUGGGUCGAUGAUGCUAGCAGCAACGAGACUGCAAUUAUCACUUGUUUUGUUGCUGUACUUGUCGUGGUCUAUUUCGCAUGGAAUGUAAACAAAUCAAGUAAAGCAAAUGCUAAAUUGCCACCAGGAUCUCGGGGCUUGCCAGUAGUCGGAUACCUCCCAUUUCUUGGAACUACUGACUUACACAAGACAUUCACGGAGUUAGCUGGAGUUUAUGGUCCGAUCUUCAAGAUUUGGCUUGGGAAUAAAUUGUGUGUAGUGGUGAGCUCGCCUACCCUAGUUAAACAAGUGGUCCGUGAUCAAGAUAUAACAUUCUCAAACCGCGACCCACCGAUCGCUGGAACUGUGACCACCUACGGUGGCAAUGAUAUUGCACUUUCCAAUUAUGGUCCCGAAUGGAAAAAGUUGCGAAAAUUAUUUGUGAGCAAGAUGAUGAGUAAUGCAACCCUUGAUGCUUGUUAUGCUCUAAGAAAACAAGAGGUUAAAAAUACUAUCAGGGAUUUGUACAACAACAAUAAGGAUAAUAUUGGCAGUGGCAAUGGCAAGCCCAUUGACGUUGGUGAAUUGUCGAUUUCAACUUUGGUACGUGUUAUGCAGAACAUGCUGUGGGGUCAAGCAUUGGAAACAAGAGAGAAAGAGAUUACUAAUCUCGGGGCUAAUCUUGCAGAACUCAUGGUGCUACUGGGAACACCAAAUAUUUCGGAUAUUUUUCCAGUGCUUUCAUUGCUUGACAUGCAAGGUAUAGAGAGAAGAGCUAAGAAGAUUUCUCUAUGGUUUGAAAACAUUAUCAAUUCUGGUGUUGAACAGUAUAGAAACAAGUUUUCUGUUGUUAAAGGUGAAGAAGCUGCAGCAGGAAAAAAUAUUGAACGAUCAAGAAAUAAGGACUUCUUGCAGUUACUGUUGGAGCUUCAGGAAAAUGAAGAUAGUGCUUCAUCUAUUAGCAUGAACCAACUAAAGGCCGUGCUCGUGGUAUGUUAAGCAACUAGACACAAAAAGUUGUAAAAGCACAGUGAUAUAUUUGCGCGAGGCCGCGAGUGAUGUUUUGCCUCGAGAACUCUCAAUUUUAUCUUACGGUAAAAAAUGUUUUUCAACUUUUUUUAAUUAGAAUUUUAUUGCAAUUUAUUUAACAGGACAUAAUUGUGGCCGGAACCGACACCACAACUACGAUGGUGGAAUGGACAAUGGCAGAGUUGAUGCAACAUCCACAAGUAAUGAAGAAAGUUCAAGAAGAAUUAGCUCAAGUUGUGGGCAUGGACAGUUGUGUUGAAGAAUAUCACUUGCCUAAAUUAAAUUAUUUAGAUGCUGUGGUGAAAGAAACAUUUCGUUUGCAUCCUGCGUUGCCCUUAUUGGUACCUCGCACGGCAAGCGAGAACAGCAAUAUUGGUGGCUAUACCAUUCCCAACGACACUAAUUUUAUGUUGAAUGUUUGGGCUAUUCACAGGGAUCCUCAACUUUGGGAUAAUCCCUUAGAUUUUCGACCUGAGAGGUUCUUGAAUGAUGAUAUCAUAAGCAAAUUCAAUUACUCGGGUAACAAUUUUCAGUACUUGCCAUUUGGUUCUGGUAGAAGGAUGUGCGCUGGCAUUCCUCUAGCUGAGAGGAUGUUGAUGCUUGUUCUGGCUUCGUUGUUGCACUUGUUUGAGUGGAAAUUGCCCCCGGGCACAAAGCUAGACUUAGCUGAAAAGUAUGGGAUUGUCAUGCGGAAAAAAGAGCCUCUGAUUGCUAUUCCAACACCAAGGCUACCAAAUUCAGAUCUCUACCAGUAAGAUCAAAAUGGUUGUGAUGAUAUUAUUUCCCAUUGUAUUGGAAUAUUUUUGUGUGAUUUGAAGUUCAAUCAUAAUAAAAUAUUUUAAUAAAAUGUCCUCGGUUGCUAAUUUUUCAAUAGUAUACUCUAUCAUCGUUUCUAACUGUCUUUUAGAGCCAUUUGGUCUAAUUUAUUUUUGAAUUAAAAUCCAUAAAUAUUUAAAUUUUUGAAUCAUAUUAAGAAUUAUCUGGAGUGUAUGGUCUGAUCUUCAAGUUCUGGCUUGUAAACAAAUUAGAGUUCUGAUAUUUGCCCCGGGUCAAACCCCGAAAUUAAAUAAAACGGCGUCGUUUUGUUUUUUUUUUUUUUUUUUUCUUUUUUACUUCUUCCAAACGUUGCCAUUUCACUUGUCAUUUGCAAGUGACUCCAUUGAUCCUUAGUUGAAACAGAGUUACACCGUAAAUCUCUUCCUCUUCGUUUCUUCGUUUCACCAGGGAACGAGACAGAUAAAAUCCAGCCAUUCUUCGACAUAACAAGAUAUCGAUUAGAAUCCAACGACAUAACUAUAAACCAUGACAUUGCGCUUGAUUUUGCGAAAUACCGAUUAAGAACCAGUAACUUUGAAUCCAAUGACCGUUAAGAGUUUGAAAUUGGUUUCAAAUGACUAAUGAGUUAUCAGAUUUCUUUGCGUCUACAUUUUCCUUGAAGGUUUCUCAGCAGCCAAACAAAUACAAAGCAAAUUGCAGAAGAAACACAUUUUGUUCCAAUGAAAAAUGUACGGAAACAUUUUAAAUAUGGAAAAUUACCUCAAAAUGAAGGCUCGCAAGAGAUUCGAGCAACAAAUUAGAUCAAAGGAACCGGCGCUGAGCAAGAAAGUGAGCUCAAAGAUUCCGAAACACAAACGUAAAUUCACAAAAAUGCAAAUCUAUGAUGAACGCCAAGAUCAAAAUUUUCGAAGAAAGGGAGCUGAAAAAAUAAAUGAAACGUCAAACUAGAUGACAAUGGAUUUGCUUCUUCAAAGGAGACAAUGAAAUUGUUACUAGAGACAGCUAGAGAAAUAGAGAGAGAGAGAGAGAGAGCUUGAAUUGGCUGUACCCCCACCAGAAAGUGGGUAGUGCCUUUUCCACUUGGACUUGAUAUGCGAAUCUGAAAAAAUCUGAACGAAGGACUGACUCAUCCCAGCUCGAAAGCAAACCAAGCUAGGACUGACUGAAAACGUUGCCGUUUGGAGAAGUUAAAAAAAAAAACUAAACAAAACGACGCCGUUUUGUUUAGUUUCGGGGUUUGACCCGGAAUUUGACCCGGGGCAAACAUCAUUUUCCAACAAAUUAUGCAUGGUCGUGUACACGCUUUCCCUAAUUAAGCAUGAGGUUCGUGAUCAAGGCACAACAUUCACUCCCUGCGACCCAACAAUCGCUACAUUGUUUGCCACCUAUAGUGCCAACGAUUUUGCACGGUCCAAUUAUGGUCCCCAAUCGAAAACGUUGCGCAAAUGUUUUCUGGGCAAGAUGAUAAGUAACGCAAGCCUUGAUGCUUGUUAUGGUCUAAGAAAACAAGAGGUUAAUAUAUAUAUAUAUAUAUAUAUAUAUAUAUAUAUAUAUAUAUAUAAAUUGGCAUUGUCAACUUUUGUAUGUUUUAUUCAGAACCCGCUGUGGGUUGACGCUAGCAUGCUUGCGUUAGGAGACGAGGGGACCAAUCUUGGGGCUGAGCUAAAAUAUAAGCUUGUAGAGAUCAUCUUGCUAAUGGUAAUGUUUUCCGAUGCUGGUUUAAUUCAUGGUAUAAAAAGGAGAACAAAAAAGAUUUUUCUAUGCUUUGAAAAUAUUAUAAUUUUUAUUUUAUAAUUUUUAAUAAAAUCUCUCAUUGAUAGCCAAACAAUUAAAAUUUUUGUAAAGCUUUUGUGGACUUUUGAUCGCGUAUGGUGCCAAUGUAUUGCGUGGUCCUAUUAUGGUUCCAAAUGGAGAAAGUUGCACAAGUUUUUUGAGUACCAGAAGAUCAGUAAUGUAAGCCUUGAUGGUUGUUAUGGUCUAAGAAAACAAGAGGCUAAAAAUUCUAUCUGGGAUUUUUAUAACAACAACAAAAUUGGCAAGCCCAUUGACAUUGGUGAAUUGUCAGUUUCAACCUUGGUAAGUGCGAUUCAGAACAUGCUGUGGGGUGAAACGCUUGAAAUAACAAAGAAAUGGAUUUACUAAUAUUGGGGCUGGGCUAAGAUUUAAGCUUGCAGAACUCACGGUGCUAGAGGGAACACCGAAUAUUUUGGAUAUCUUUCCAGUGCUUUCAUGGUUUAAUAUACAAGGUUUUCAGAGAAUAGCAAAGAAGAUUUCUCUAUGGUUUUAAAAUAUUAUCAAUUCUACUGCUGAACGCUAUAGAAACAACGUCUCUAUUGUCAAAAGUGAAGAAGCAGCAGCAGCAGGGAACAAUAUUGAAGGAAGGAAUAAGGACUUGGUGCAGUUACGCUUGGAGCUUCAAGGUAAAGAAGACAAUGCUUCAUCAAUUAGCAGGACGCAAUUUAAGAGCUUGCUCGUGGUAUGUUGCGCAACUAGCCACAGACAGUUACAGAAACUGAGUUUGGCAGAUUACGACCGUUUCUGGUGAUUACAUAAUUAUUUGUGGCUGUUUUUUUUUUUUAAUUGUAAUUUUCUUAACAGGAUAUAAUUUAGGGUGGAACCAACACCACAACUAUAAUGGUGGAAUGGACAAUGGCAUAAUUGAUACAGCAUCCACAAGUAAUAGAGAAUGUACAGGUAGAACUAAAUCGGGCCGUGGCCAUCGACAGCCAUGUUGAAGAAUUUCACCUAGCUAAGUUAAAAUAUUUAGAUGCUGUGGUGAAAGAAACAUUCUGCACUGUAAUAUAAUACAUGAAUCAUAUGUCCUCUAUUGUUUUUUUAUUUUUCUCUUUUUUUCAAUAGCUUAAUCUAUCAUUAAAAUCUUCUGAAAUUCUAAAUUAAUAUACAUUCAACCUAGAGUUCAAGCCAAAGUUUUAUUGAGCAUUAAAAAAAAAAAAAAUUCUACGACUCAAAAUUUUGUGGAGUAUAAAUUAAAAAUUAUGCGCCUACUAAGAGACAAAAAAUAAAUGAUACACAUUAACCAAUCAAAGGCGAACAAGAGAUUAUUAACAAUAACCUAAUAAUAAAAUUAUAAUGAAUAAAAAAGAAAUGGUACCUAGAAACACAUCACAGCCAUUUAAGCAAUCACUUACCCACAAAAUCCAAACAUAUAAACUAUGUGGGGGGGGGGGGGGGGGGGGGGGGUGUCAUGAUACCUUUGGGUUUCAUGAUAAUCAAAAUUGCAAUACCAUUAAAGACUCAAAAAUAAAAAAAAUCAUAGCCAAUAAAAGAGAAAAAAUAACCCACAAAAAAUCAUCAAGAAAAUAAAUUUGAGACUAAGAGAAGAUAUUAAUUAAACCCUGGGUUGCCUUGGAACCACGGCUUUGGCUUCCAUUUUUCAAUUCUUGGCGACAAGUCAUUUCUUGUUUGUUUACAAAGAUGACGGCUGAUUAAUGAAGCUCUAUUAACAAUGAAUAAAUAAAAAAACUGGCGCCUUGAAAAGACUAACGGUCAUAUUUUUCAACUCCGAAUUAGUGCCGUUUGAUGAGUCCUUGCCAAAACAAUCACUAGGCAAAUAACAAUCAUUUUUCAACCAGCAAAACUCAUUCAUUGUAUUUCACCUUAGUCAAGAUUUAAAAAUUGUUUCAAAAUAAACCUAGUGGUUAGAACCCAAGCGUCACAAUUGUGAGGUCAUGGGUUUGAGCCCCCACAACGUAUUGUGGGGGUUAAUUUUCUUCUUCAAUUUGAGUGAAAACAGUUCUCUCCCUUUCGAAAUGUGGGUGGAGUGGACGUCCCUCAAAUAUUAGAGAGGGUUCAAAUUUGGAUUGUACUAUAUAAGAUUUAUAAAUUAGUCCCAGUAAUUAUCUGAUUGUAAAUAUCAAUAUACUAAUCUAAUUAAAUAUGAGUUGUAAUAUGAGCGUUAGUCUCAUGUAAUUAAAAAAAAAAUGUUUCAAAAUAGGAUUCUUAAAAGGUUGGGGAAAUGGCCAUCAAUAUCCCCAACUUUCCAAAAAGAGACACCAAGACCCAUUUUGACCAUAAUACCCUUUACUUCUAUUAUCCCCAAAAAAUUGACUCUAAUGUUUUAUAAUAAAUAAAAAUAUAACAUUAAAAUAAAUGUAAUAGUAUAUACAUUUUAAAAUAGUUUCAAUAUCUAAAAACCAUUUUAAUAUUUUAAAUCCUAUUAUAUAUAUAUUAAAGUAAAUUUUAUAAUAAAUAGAAUCAUAAUAUUGAAAUAAAUGCAUUAAAAUUUAAAUUAUUUUUAAUAUUAUGUAAAAUAAUAAUUUUAUCAUUAUAAGUAUAUGAGAAUUUUUUUAAUUGUAGAAUGUAUUUAAUGCAAAUAUUUAUUUAAAAUCUCUACAAUAAAUAAAAAUAUACUAUUAAAACAAAUCUCUACAAUAUAUACAUACAUACAUAUACAUUGGCCUGGUAUUUUAUUUUUCAUUUUUUAAACUUAUUAAAUCCUCUAACUAUCAUUUGAUUAUUUUUUUCAAUGAUGAAGAGGCCAUUGCCGGAUAAAUUAUUAAAAUCAACUAGUUCUACAAGAAUGUCCCUUUUUAAAGGAAGAUGAUUCUCUCUCUCGAAAUUUUUUAUCUUGUGCUACAAACUAAAAACUUAUGCCAUUUCAUUAACCACAGAGAUCUUUGAGGAAAUGAUGCUUCGCCCCCCCCCCCCCCCCCCCCCCCCCCCCCCCCCCCCCGCGGCGCCAAAAAGUGUCCUUCCAUAUUUUGUGAAGGCUAAUACAUCGAUGAAUCUAGAUUUCUUUAAAUUUUUUGUUUUACUCAAUUCGAGAUAAUAAAUAGUUUAUCUUUAUUAAAUCUUUACUUUAACAAUGAUAGAUAUUCAAUCCAUGCAAAUAUCUAUCAUUGUAUGAGCUGAUUGCGUGGAGGGAGCGGUAAUUGAAAUCUAAUUGAAAACAGCAGAAGGCUGUUCUUGACAGAUCUCAAAUAUAUUACGGACACGUUGGGAGACAUCUCUAUCAUAGAUAUCCCCAUGCAGUGAUAUUUGUCGUGAUCUAAUUUUUAGUAAAUCUGUAAGAGAGAUUGUAACAUCUUUCAAGUUUUUUGGUUUGAUAUUCUAGACGAAAACGGUUUGUCGUUUCUUGAGCAAACGGCUAACCGUUUAAGUCCAGAGAGCAUGUUUGUUGUUCUGGAUAAAACGGCUCACCGUUGUUGCGAAAACGGCUAACCGUUUAACUCAAGAGAGCAUGUUUUAUGUUCUAGAGAAAACGGCUCACCGUUAUUGAGAAAACGGCUAACCGUUUAUUUACAGAGAGCAACGUAUUUGAUAUUCUGGAAUAAAAUGGCUCACCAUUUAUUGAGAAAACGGCUAACUGUUUAUUUCCAGAAAGGCGUCAAUUAGAAAAACGGUUAGCAAGAAUGAAAAUUUCAAUUGACAAUCGAUGCAAAUUCAAACCAAAAGAGUGUCUUCGAAAAAGUACCAUUUCUAAUGGUUGUAUUCUUUCAAAUAAACAUCUUCUUCAUUAAAGAAAUACACACAAUUAGAUUGAUAAUCAGAUUUUGACAGGUUUCUUAUAUGUUCUGGAAAUACAAUCUUAUUUGCUAGAGAUUGUAUUCAGGAUUUGUUAUAUCUUGGGGGUAAUUUGCCAUUAAAACUAUAUAGCAAACCAAGAUUGGUGAGGGCAAAUAAAACCUUAAAGGAAAGUAUGCAAACACGUCUCAAAUCCUAUGAAACUUUCUUUGUUCUUUGCCUCCAUAUUCUUAUUAUUCACUAACAAAAUCCCCAUGCAGUGAUAUUUGUCGUGAUCUAAUUAUUAGAAAAAUCUAUGAUUUCGCUACUGUAAUAAAAUUUGUCACUACUCUACAUUAAUCUAAAUGUCUGAUGAGAUUUGUAAUUGCUUCCGACGGGAAAACAGUUAAUAGGUUGAUUGAAUGUAUGUGGUAAAGAUUCCACGUAUCUCACGACAGAAUGCUGACCACUGGAACCCUAUCUACUUUUACGCGAUUAAUUCACGAGCUUAGGCACGACAAUUGCAAUACAAAUUAUCCCUUCAUCAUAUAUUUCGUUAAAAUUCAUUCUGAAGCACUAAAACUAAACAAUCGAAUAUGGCUUUGAGGGUCGAUGAUGCCAGCAGCAAUGAGAGUGCAAUUAUCACUUGUUUAGUUUCUGUGCUUGCCGUGGCUUAUUUAGCAUGGAAUGUGAAAAAAUCAAGGAAAGCAAAUGCUAAACUGCCACCAGGACCUCGCGGCUUGCCUGUAGUCGGAUACCUCCCAUUUCUCGGGACUACUGACUUGCACAAGAAAUUCACGGAAUUUAUUUUACUAUUAUAUUUAUAUUCAAAAUAAUUUUAAUUAGCUUUUAAAAUGAAUGAUUUUAGGAAAUUAUAAAUAAAGGUAACUAAGAAUUCUCUUAAUGUAAUAUAUUAUUAAUUAGUUUAAAAAUACAAAUUUAUUAAUUAGAGAAAUUAUUAGUGAAUUUAAAUUAAUGAUCUUAAUGAUUUGUUUGUACGAUUGCCCCCAAUCAAAGGUAAUUUUCCUAAAAAUUAUUAGGAAAUUAGAGAAAUUUAAUUUUUUUAGUGGGUUCAAUUGCCCACACACCCCGACUGAAGCAUUUUUUACAAUAUGUACUCCGUUUGUCGGCAGGAAAAUAAAGGUCUUGACACAUGAUCACUUCACUCCUUUAUUUACUUUGCUAACGCAGAUUUUGAGGUAUUAAAACAAAUAAUAAUUGAAUAUGACUUUGUGGGUCGACGACGCCAGCAACGAGGAGACCGCCAAUUAUCACAUUUUAAGUUUGCUGUAAUUGCCGUUGUUUUAUAUUAGUAGAAUAUUAGUGAUAAGAUAAUUGUAGAGUUUUCAUUUUUUUAAUAUUAAAAUCAAGUCAAUUUAUUAUAAUAAAUUUAGUUGAAUUUAAUCGUAUUACCACAUAAAUUGAAUAAUAAUAGAAUUCUCGACAAUAUUUCAAUAUUUUAAUCUCAAGCAUUGGAGUGGCAUUUAUUUGUUAUACGGUCGAUUUUAGAAUUUAUAAAAUUAUUCGUUGCUGAAUUGCACCAUAUGCUGCAUAACCUGAAACUUAAUAAACGGAACGUAGCGUUGGCACCGUUACUCAACAUUCACUGUUACGACUUUGUGACAUUAGAAUUAAAAUCUUUUCCACAUUUAAUUUGUUUACUUCCAACUUAAUAUUUAACAAAAUGUAUGUUAGCAUUGUAUGCCAUAUCAUCUGUAAUUUUGUCAGGAUCGAUCAUUCUAAUUUUUAAGCAGAACUUUUUGUCAAUGGACAAACACCUCAUACAGCUUGUCAGAGGCAUUAGUAUGAUGUAAAAUUGUAAUGGUAUAUCUUGAAUUAUUUUAGAAUAGUGAAUAACUAUUUGGAGCAAUAAAAACAAAUAAGACAGAUGAGAAAAUGGCUAAAAUUAUAUAAGUGACCCAAAAUUUUUUGCUAUUUCCAAGAAAUCCCCAAUCUGAAUGGACCAGAGGGAGGCAAGUUAGAAAUACAUUUCCUUCAUAGACAAUAACAACGAUGAGUGGAUGACAUCAAACCACGUUGGUAUCAAUAUUGAAAUAAAGGUGCAAUUAUUCAGCCAAUGAGCCUUAGUACACAUCAAGAUAUAUAAAAGUCAAGAAAAUGAAAAUUUAUCCCAAUUAAAACUCUUUCUGGCUGCAUUUAGCUGUUUCUGUUUAGGGAUGGCAAUUUAAUCCGGACCCAGCCCGACCCGGAUGAAUCCAGAAAAUUCGGGGUGGAUUCAACCCGUACCGGAGUGAAUAAAAUCUGAUAUUCAAAUUCAAUAUUUUCAACCCGGACGUUUCCGAGUCCGGAUCCGGAUUUGGGUAAACCCGCAUAUCCGGAACCCGGAUCCGGAUAACUAUUUUAAUAUUAAUUUUUAAAUCAUUUUAAAAUAAAAAAAAAUUAGAAAAAAUCAGCCCUAAUGCCCUUCCACAGCCACGGCAGCCAAACCAAACCCAGACAUUUCCUCUCUCUCUCUUUAGCCCUUCUUUUCAACAAAUCAUCAUCGUUGCUCAUCAUCGUUUCGUCGUGUUCAUCUUCAUCUUCAUCAUCAGCUGCCGUUUGUCCAGCUAUGUCACUAGUUUUGGCCGCCGUUUCCGUUUGUGCACCUUCGCAAAUCGGGAUCUCGAUUUGGCCGCCAACACUUCUACCCCCUGGUGUUUUGCUUUGUCCUCGACAACUUCUUUGUUGAUAAAUUGACGGGCACUUAUGAAUGCAUUUGUCUCUGUUUCUUCAUUUACACCUUCCCAGUUGUUUGUUCAUUUGCUUUUUGGAAGGAAAAAAAAAAAAAAUCAGCCACCAUUUAUCCUUCCCCUUUUCUUGACCUAACCCCACAAAGCCCAAUUUGUCAUCAUCAUUCAUUGGCAAAUUUGUUAUCAUCAUGGUUGAGACAUCAUGAUUAUCUUUGAUAAUUGAAUUUGUGUAAUAUGUUACCUUGGAUUUUAUUUCUAAGUAUUUGAUUUUGAAUUAUUUUCCAUUAUUGGUGUUAAUAGAUAGAAGAUUAGAAAGGAAUUCUUCACUGAAUAAAGAGAUGGGAAAUUGCAUCUUUUAGCAAUCAUCCGGGUUAUAAACCCGGAAUCCGGAAACCAGGAUUUUUCCGGGUUUAACCCAGUCCGGACCCGAAUGAAAAAUAUCCGGGUUUACAUCCGGGUCUGGUAUUAAAAUUUAUCGUCCGGAUCCGGAACAGGGAAGACAAAACCCGGACCCGAACCCACAUUUUGCCAUCCCUAUUUCCAUUUGAAGUUAACAACAACGUUUCUUUCGUUUUGUGGGCGACUUGACUGAGCCAGCUGGAUUCUAGUGCUAGUAUGUGAAAAUAGAAGGCUAAUGAUUUCACGUUCACUAGCCCACCUCCCCUCCUCUCGUUUCCUCUGAAUCAAUUUUCACGUGUGGUACCGAUUGAAAAUAUCUCUGACAUUUCGUGGACAUCUCUAUUGAAAAUAUCUCAGACAUUUCACUCAGGCAAACUUAUUAAUAUAAAAAAUCUAUGAUUUUUUCGUCUUAUACUGUAGAAAAAUUUGUCUAUACAUUAAUCUAGAUGUUUGAGGUGGUUUAUACAUCUGUGGUAUAGAUUUAUAGGUUGAUUGAUACGUCUGUGGUAUAGAUUUUAUGUAUUUCAUUAUCAAAUGCUGGCCUUUGGGACCCUAUCUACAUCUAUUUAUAAAACUAACGGGUGCCAGUUAUGCCAUUACAAAUUAUCCCCUCUUCAUACAUUUCCUUAAAAUUCUUCUGAAACACCAAAACUAAAUAAUCGAAUAUGGCUUUGCGGGUCGAUGAUGCCAGCAACAAUGAGGCUGCAAUUAUCACUUGUUUAGUUUCUAUGCUUGCCGUGGUUUAUUUCGUAUGGAAUGUGAACAAAUCAAGGAAAGCAAAUGCUAAACUGCCACCAGGACCUCGCGGUUUGCCUGUAGUCGGAUACCUCCCAUUUCUCGGAACUACUGACUUGCACAAGAAAUUCACGGAAUUAUCCGGAGUUUAUGGUCCGAUCUUCAAGCUCUGGCUCGGAAAUAAAUUAAGUGUCGUGGUGAGCUCACCUUCCCUAGUUAAACAAGUGGUUCGUGAUCAAGAUACAACAUUCGCAGACCGUGACCCGCCGAUCUCAGGACUAGUGACCUCCUUUGGUGGCAAUGAUAUUACAUGGUCCAAUUACGGUCCCGAAUGGAGAAAGUUGCGCAAAUUUUUUGUGGGCAAGAUGAUGAGUAACGCAAGCCUUGAUGCUUGUUAUGCUUUAAGAAAACAUGAGGUUAAAAAUACUAUCAGGGAUUUGUAUAACAACGGCAACAAAAUUGGUAAGCCCAUUGACAUUGGUGAAUUGUCGAUUUCAACAUUGGUAUGUGCUAUGCAGAACAUGCUGUGGGGUGAAGCGCUUGAAUUAAAAGAGAAAGGGACAACUAAUCUUGGGGUUGAGCUAAAAUUUAAGUUUGCAGAACUCAUGGUGCUACUGGGAACACCGAAUAUUUCGGAUAUCUUUCCAAUGCUUUCUUGGCUCGACAUACAAGGUAUAGAGAGGAGAGCAAAGAAGAUUUCACUCUGGUUUGAAAAAAUUAUAAAUUCUACUGUUGAAAAGUAUAGAAGCAAGGACUUUAAUGUUGAAGGUAAAGAAAGAGCAGGGGAAAAUUUUGAAGGAUCAAGGAACAAGAACUUCUUGCAGUUACUAUUGGAGCUUCAAGAAAAUGAAGACGGUUCUUCCUCAAUUAGCAUGAACCAAUUUAAGGCCGUACUCGUGGUAUGUUAAGAAACUAGCCGCAAACAGUUAUACAAGCACAGCUGUAUAUUUUGCAUGAGUGAUAUUUUCAACCUUUUUUUUUUAUAAUUAGAAUUUUAUUGUAACCUUUUGGACAGGAUAUAAUUACGGCUGGAACCGACACCACAACUACGAUGGUGGAAUGGACAAUGGCAGAGUUGAUGCAGCAUCCACAAAUAAUGAAGAAAGUUCAGGAAGAAUUAGCUCAAGUUGUGGGCAUGGACAGUUGUGUUGAAGAAUUUCAUUUGCCUAAAUUGAAAUAUUUAGAUGCUGUGGUGAAAGAAUCGUCUCGUCUGCAUCCUGCAGUGCCUUUAUUACUACCACGCAGAGCAAGCGAGAGUGGCAGCAUUGGUGGCUAUAACAUUCCCAAAGAUACAACUAUUAUGUUGAAUGUUUGGGCAAUCCACAGGGACCCUAAACUUUGGGAUAAUCCCUUAGAAUUUCGACCCGAGAGGUUUCUAGAUGAUGGUAUCGCGAGUAAGUUCGAUUACUCAGGUAACAAUUUUCAGUACUUGCCAUUUGGUUCUGGUAGAAGGAUGUGUGCUGGGAUUCCUCUAGCUGAGAGGAUGCUGAUGUUUGUUUUGGCUUCGUUAUUGCACUCAUUUGAGUGGGAAUUGCCAGCUGGCACAAAGCUAAACUUAUCUGAAAAAUUUGGGAUUGUCAUUAAGAAAAAAGAGCCUUUAGUUGCUAUUCCAACACCAAGACUAUCCAAUUCAGAGCUCUACCAUUAAGACAGAAUGGUUGUGAUGAUUUUGUUAAUUUCCGAAGAUUUGUAUGUUAUGUCAAGUUCAAUCGUAAUAAAAUAUUUCAAAUAAGAGUCCUCCGUUGCUUUUUUUUUUUUUUUCAACCGCAUAAUCUGUCGUCAUGCUUGUAUUUGGGGCUACUUUGGAAUAAUUAUGUUUGAAUUACAAUAUAUAAAUAUUACAUUUUAAAAUUUUAUGAGAUUCUAAAUUUAUACACGUUCAAUAACCCACUUCAUAUAUGUUUAACACAAUUUAUAUCAUACAUUGUAUACCCAUUUGUCAUAAAUUACGCUAUUUUAUAUCUCUAAAUAAUAUUACAUAUUGAUAUUAUAAAAUGUUGUUAACUCACGUGUGUAUAUAUAUAUAGCAAGUCACGUGCAUAUAUUAUUGGUUGUUAUAUGUUUGCUAGUUUGAUAGGAUUUCCUUUCCUUGUGAACUAGGGUAAUUCUUAUGUACAUAUAAAUAUUGAUCAAUAAGAGUGCAGAUGAUGACUGCAGUUUUGCAUCGUAGAAAUUCUUCGUAAAAUAUAUAUGUUUAUCAAAAGGCUAUACCAUUCAAUAUAUAUUGGAAAGAGAACAAAGAAGAUCUUCUUAUGGUUUGAAAAUAUUAUGAAUUCUGCUGUUGAACAGUAUGGAAACAAGGUCUGUUGUUAAAGGUGAAGAAGUCACAGGGAACAAUAUUGAAGGAAGAAAUUUCACGUUUAGUUGCUGAAUUUGCCGCUGUAUUCUAUCGGUAGUAAAAAGAUUAGAGUUUUUAUUUUUCUCUAUUAAUGUUAAGUCAAUUUUCUAUAACAAAUUCGGUUGAGUUUAAUUGUGUUACAAUAUAAAUUGAAUGAUAGUAGAAUUUUCAACGAAUAAUUCAAUAUUUCUAUCUCGAUUGUUGAAGUGCCAUUUAUUUGUUAUACGAUCGAUUUUAAAAUUUAUAAAAUUAUUUGUUACUAAAUUGCAUCAUAUGCUAAAUCACCUGAAACCUAAUUUCAUAACUAACCCUUUAUUUUUAGUUCUCAAGAAAUCUUGUAAGAACAAAAUUCUUUUGUAACAAAACGUUUACAACAAAUUAAUUUGUAACUCAUUCCUGUGCGAGAAUCACUCUCAAUUUCCUUCAAUUGCUGUUUAACAAUCAUCUGCUUAUCAAAAUUCAAGCAUAAUCUUUUUUUUUAAUUUCUUCAUCAUUCUUUUGAAAAAAAAAAUCAGGAUAUGCUGUUAAAUUUUGAAAUAAAUUAUCUCAAAAUAAUUACUAACCAGAAAAAACAAAGGGGUUUAACUAGGUUAUGCAUACCUUUGAAAAUUAUAUGUUGAUCGAUAAGAAUGAUGAUCACGAUUGACGAGUUUAAUUAAAAUAUAUAAGAUUUUAAAAUUAAUCAGGGUUAAAUUGUGAAUUUUAGAAAGAGAGGUUUUGUGAGAAUGUUGAAAGGGUGUUAAUAGUUCCACUCUUUUUAAAAACAACCAUAGUCAUCAUUUUUCCAUGGUUGUUUUUAAAAAGAGUAUUUCUUCUUCCCAUCUCCAUCUUAUUUAGAAAUUUCCCAGAGCCUUUGUUUCCCACCUUUCAUUUUUCUUCUUUCUAAUUUAAUAAUCCACCCUUCUUGUAUUCAAACUAAAAAAUUAAAAUCUGAAAAUUUAAAACCCAAUAUUAUAGUAUUAUAAAAAUAAUUACUCACAUUUUAUCAAACACCUCCAUUCUUCCAAGGCCUUGUUUUAGUAGUAGGCUUUUAUUAUCUCAAUAAAAUUGAAAAAAAAAAUCUCAAUAAUAUUGGAAAAAAACCCUACCCAUAUUUGUAACUUUAAUUUAUUAUUCUCCAUAGACCUACUUUUUAGUUUUGAAUUUUGUUGGAGCCAUAUAUAAACAGAAUAUGUUGAAAUCAGCACCCAAAAAAAAAAAAACUAAUUAUAUAAUUUAUGUUCCCAAGGACAUGGCUGAGUGAUUUUCAAGAAGUUUUGUUUGGCUGGCCACUUAGGUUUAAAUCUUGGUGGAGAUUAAGGGUUAAGAAAUAAAUUUAGACUUUGCACACCCCUUUAACUUUUAAAAAGAAAUGAAAAAAUUAAUUAAUUAAUCUUUAUUUUAUUUAUUAAAUGUCAUAAUCCUAUGCGUAUUUUAUUUGUUAUCUUUCUAUUUAAAAGACGAGGGCAGAUAAAACUGAAAUAAAUUUUUAGCCCUAUCUCCAUAUUUCAAGUUCCAUAGUUAGGUGACCAGCUAAAAAAAAUUAAUUGAAAGCUACUCCAUCAAAUUAAAAAAAUUUAUUUAUUUAAUUUGUGGAGAUGUAGAAAAUCAAACCCCAUACCUUUUCGCAUACACUGAACAUAUUUUAAUACAUGACUAUCAUCCUUUAUCCUAAAUACUACUAUAACUAAUAACAUACAAUUGAAAUAAUUAAUGUUAACACUUGGCUAUAAAUAAAGGUUUUGUGCUUGAAUCUUCACGCAUGACCUUCAUUCCUUUAUUGACUUUGCUAACACAGAUUUUGAGGCAUUAAAACUAAAUAAUAAUUGACUUUGUGGGCCGAGGAUGCCAGCAACAAGGAGACCACAAUUAUCACUUAAGUUACUCUAAUUGCCGUUGUCUUAUAUUCAUAGAAUAUUAGUAAUAAGAUUAUUGCAGAAUUUUUUUAAUAUUAAAAUUAAGUCAAUUUGUUAUAACAAAUUUAGUUGAGUUUAAUCGUGUUACUACAUAAAUUGAAUAAUAAUAGAAUUCUCGACAAAUAUUUCAAUAUUUUUAUCCCAAGCGUUGGAGUGGCAUUUAUUUGUUAUACGAUCGAUUUUAGAACUUAUAAAAUUAUUCGUUACUGAAUUGCACCAUAUGCUGCAUGACCUGAAACUUAAUAAACGGAAUGUAGCGUUGGCACCGUUACUCAACAUACUGUUACGACUUUGUGACAUUAGAAUUAAAAUCUUUUGCACAUUUAAUUUGUUUACUUCAAAAUUAAUAUUUAACAAAAUAUUUUUUUCACAUUAUCAAUGGACAAAACUCCAACGAAAAUAACUACACAAGAAAAAUGUAUGCUAGUAUUGUGUGCCAUAUCAUCUGUAAUUUUGUCAGGAUCGAACACUCUAAUUUUUAAGCAGAACUUUUUAUCAAUGGACAAACACCUCACACAGCUUGUCAGAGGCAUUAUUAUGAUAGAAAACUGUAAUGGUAUAUCUUGAAUUAUUGGUAGAAUAGUUCUUUGGAGCAAUAAAAAUAGAUAAGACAGAUGAGAAAAUUGUCAAUACCCCACCGCAAAAGCAAAAGAAAAAAAGGAAAGGAGACAAAAGAGGAAGAAGAAAAAAAGGAAAGGAGACAAAAGAGGAAGAAGAAAAAGAAAAAAGAACGAAGAAAAAAAUGGUGCCGCGCUGUAUUGGGAAGAAGAAAAAAAUUAAUAAAAUAAUAAUAAAUAAUAAAUAAUAAAUAAUAAAAUAAUAGUGCACAACAAUCAUUUGAUUGCUAUAAAUAAAGGGGCAUUUUCCUCAUUUUAUUCAUCGAAUUCUUCAGUUCCUUUCAAGCGAUUUAAGAGUCUAGUGAUUUGAGAGUUUGGGAGUAUUGUGAUUUUGAGUACUAAGUUAAAAUACUAUAAUACUUGUAACUCAUUUUCACUAGUAAAAUAUUUUUCUUCUGUCUUCGCCCGUAGACGUAGGCUAAAAGCUGAACCACGUAAUUUCUGGUGUCCCUAUGUGAUUAUGUGUCUCAUUAUUUCUCAAUUUUACUUUAGUUACGUGUCUGCUACACCCUUCAAUUUACUAACAAAAAUGGCCAAAAUUAUAUAAGUGACCCAAAUUUUUUUGCUAUUUCCAAGAAAUCCCCAAUCGGAAUAGACCAAACUAGAGGGAGGCAAGUUAGAAAUACGUUUCCUUCAUAAACAAUAACAGCGAUGAGUCGAUGACAUCGAGCCACGUCGGUAUCAAUAUUGAAUUAAAGGUGCAAUUAUUCAGCCAAUGAGCCUUACACAUCAAGAUAAAAGUCAAGAAAAUGAAAAAUUUAUCCUAAUUAAAACACUUUCUGGCUGCAUUUAGCUGUUUCUAUUUGAAGUUAAAAACAACAUUUCUUUCGUUUUGUGGGCAACUCGACUGAGUUCGCUGGCUUCUAGUGCUAGUAUGUGAAAAUAGAAGGCUAAUGAUUUAUUUGUUAUCUUUUGACAAAAAAUGUUAAAGAUAUAAUAGAUUUUCCAUGAUACAAAUGAAAAAUUAUAUCAACAUAACUUCCAAGCUACAGCAGCUAGUGUUUACCAAACACUUUGCUGUAGCUUUUAAGCUACAGCUGCCCAACCUCAAUAGGUUGAUUGAAUUUGUGGGAUAUAGAUUCCACAUAUCUCAUGACCUAUUAAUUAUACAAGUGGUUCUUGAUCAAGAACAACAUUUGCUUCCGACCCAGUAACCCAGCAACUGCUGCACUGGUCGCCACCUAUGGUGCCGACGAUAUUGCAUGGUCCAAUUAUGGCCUUGAAUGGAAAAAGUUGAGCAAAUUAUUUGUGGGCACGAUGAUAAGUAACGCAAGCCUUGAUGCUAGUUAUGGUCGAAGAAAACAAGAGGUUAAGAAUACUAUCAGAGAUAUGCAUAACAACAAAAAGGAAAAAAAAAAAAAAAGGCAUUGGCAAGUCAAUUGAUAUUGCUGAAUUGUCGAUUUCAACUUUGGCAUGUGUAAUUCAGACAUUGCGCGUUGUGGUAUGGCGCUGGCACGCUUGCAUUGCCGAGAGGACAAAUCUUGGGGCUGGGCUAAAAUUUAGGCUUGUAGAACUCAUGGUGCUAAUGGGAACGCCAAAUUUUUUUAACAUAUUUCGGUGCUUUCAUGGUUUAAUUCAAGGUAUAGAAAGGAGUGUUGAGAAUGUCAAAUAAAACGACAUUGAAUGGAAGUUGUCAAAGACAUGAUCCGCACUGAACGGCAAUGACACGGUUGGUAAAGAUUUUUUCAUAAUAUGCGUAUCUAAUUUUUGAAAAAUUGUAACCUCUGCUUCUAUAAAUAUGCUCAAUGUAUAAUGUUUUACUUAAGAAAUGAAAAACUUAAUUCUUUAUGGUAUCAGAGCGAGGCUCGUUGCUCUGUUUGUAACAAAAACAAAGAAAACUAAAUUCUUCCCACAACUAUUUUUCCACCUUUUUUUCUUCCUUAAAAGCAUUCCUAGCAUUACAGAAACCCAUGCCAAUAAAAGAACAAGCCACACAUAUGUAAAAACUUUAGUUUACAAAUCUAUCAACAUCCCCAUAAAUUUUCCCAAAAAGUGAUCUUCAAAAACCAAAAAUACCAUCAAUUUUCGCAUCUUCUAGUAAACAAACUAUAAAAGUUUCGCACUCAAACAGAGCCACACGCGCCUCCACGCGCUUCCCGGAAUCACGGCCAACCACCACGCGCCUCUGUCACCACCAACUCACCCUCAUGCGCUCCAGAUGUUGCAGAAGACGCAAAACGACGUGUCGUUUUCUUCUCUAAAAGUGCAGCAACGUGGAAAUGACUUUUUGUUUUUGCCUUAAAUUGUUUUUCCUCGUUUGAAGCUAUACAACAUUUUUCUUUCUAAACCUGUUUUUUACAAUAAAAAAAGAAAAAAAUGGAGAAAACUCCAACUGAAUCUACUCAUGUUGUCAUUCAAUCUGUUCAACCUGAUGGAGUAUUUAAUGCCGAAAUUAUCCUUACUAAGACAAACUACGAUAUUUGAUCUCAAAUAAUGGAGAUGCAUCUCGCAGAAAGAAAAAAACUCCCAUAUAUUCGUAGCAGCAUAAAUCCAUCUGACAAAUUUUCAAAGAAAUAUGAGAAAUGGUAUAGUGAGAACCAAAAAGUAAAAAGAUGGUUACUCAUAACCAUGUGUCCUGAGAUCAUGAAGCGAUAGUUACAAAUUCCUACAGCCUACGAAAUUUAGAAUGCAUUAUCAAAAGCCUUUUAUAAUGGAAGCGAUGAAAUACAAGUUUUCACUCUAAAUCAGAAGGCGUUCUCUACGAAGCAAAAUGGACAACCACUCUCUAAAUUCUACGGAGAAUUGAUCAAAAUGUUUCAAGAACUUAAUCACCGAGAUAAAGUGGUCAUGAAGGAUCCAGAAGAUGUUAUAAUAUAUAGGAAGUUUGUUGGAAGAUUGAGAGUGCACAUUUUUCUUGCUGGACUAGAUGAAGAAUUUGACCAAGUUUGUGGAGAAAUUCUACGAAAAGAUACUAUCCUAGACUUAAAAGAAUGUUAUUCUCUAAUCCGAAAAGAAGAUGUACGGCAAAGCAAACUAACAAGAAGGUGGACGACUCAGAAACGUCUGCUAUGAUACCACAAGAGAACAAUGUUUUGAAAUUGUUCGAUAUCCUGACUGGUGGGAUACUCGAAGUAAUAACACAAAGCAGAGAUAAAAAACUGCAGUAGCUGAAUCCACAUCCACUACAGAUCUUAGAAAAGAAUCUUCAGCGCAAAUUGCAACCUCUGUCAAUUCAGGUAAGGUCAUUAAAACUCUUACAUUUGUUAUUAAUAGUAUAUGGAUAAUUGAUUAUGGUGCAACUGAUCAUAUGACUUUUGAUUCUUGACAAGUUUCUUAAUUGAAACCAUCUUCACAUAAACAUGUUUCUACUGUAAAUAGAACCACAACCUCAGUUAUUGGGGAAGGAUCUUUACAACUCACAAUUAAAUCAAAUUUAGACUUUGUGUUAAUUGUUCCAUCUUUAAAUUAUAAUCUUUUAUAUGUGUCUCAAAUAACCUCUUACUUAUCAUGUGUUGUAAUGUUUUGGCCCGAUCAUUGCAUGUUUAAGGACAUCCAAAUGAAGGAAACGAUUGGUUAUGAUAUUAAAUAAGGCAACUUGUAUUACCUGGAGAUGACAUCAACAAACACUGAAAAGCUAAGCCCCGCAUUAGUAGCAGACAAUUCCAUGAAAAAAAAGGAAAUAAGAAAUUUGGUUAUGGCAUAGACGAUUAGGGCAUGUGUCAUUUGAUUUCUUAAAAAAAUUGUUUCCUAGUUUGUUUCUGAAAUUUGAUAUUUGUAACUUUAAAUAUGAUGUUUGUGAACUUUCAAAUAGCCAUCGAACUACUUUUCCAUUGUCCUUAAAUAAGAAUCCAAUUCCUUUAAUGGUAGUACAUUCUGAUGUAUAGAGACCAUCUAAAGUUUCUACCAUUGGAAGAGCUCGUUGGUUUGUUACAUUUAUUGAUGAUUGUAGCAGAAUGACAUGGAUUUUUUUAUGAAAUUAAAAUCAUAUGAUGGUGACAACUCUAUUUCAGACACAAAUUUGAGUUCUACAUACUGAUAAUGGAGGCGAGUAUAUGAGCACAACAAUUCAACAGUUUUUGAAAUCACAAUGAACUCACCACCAAACCACUUGUGUGGGGACACUCCAACAAAAUGGCGUUGCUAAACAAAAAAAUAGACAUUUACUAGAAGUUGUUCAAGCAUCACUAAUUUAGGCCCGCAUGCCACUAUUUUAUUGGGGAGAAGCAUUGGCAUCCGUAGCAUACUUGAUCAAUCGGACACCUUCAAUCUUCCUUGGAUUCCAAACUUAUUUUCUAGUUCUAAAUGAAGAAUUAUGUCAUCAAAUGUGUCGAAUUUACCCCCACAUAUGUUUGGUUGUGUUGCCUUCGUUCAUUUGCCAUGACAAGAUAAAUUAUCUCCUCGAGCACUACGUUGUGUGUUUGUAGGGUAUGCCUUACAUCAAAAGGGGUACCGAUGCUAUCAUCCUCUAUUAAGAAAAAAUAUACAUCACCAUGGACAUAAUCUUUCAUGAAGAUAUCAUGUAGUACCCAUCGGAGCUUGAAUUUCAGAGGGAGUAUAAUGAAGAGGAAAUUCAUACUCUUACAUAUCUUUCACCUGAAGAAGAUCAAUCCUCCAUUGAGGUAGUAAACGUUCAAGAUACUGGAAAAGAAAACGACAAUGAUUCUCAGGCUGAGACAAGUGAAGACACAUUUAGGGAGCAAAAUAACUCAGACAUAACCACAAUCGAGAACGAGUCCAUGAAGAGCCACAUGAAGAAAUAUCUAACCAAUCAUCUGCAGAGGAUGAUCCUACCACAAAUCCCAGUCUAAUCAGAAGAAUACUUCCCCAGCAUCAAAAUAGAGGUAUCUCUAAACCCACAUAUAAGACUGACCUCUCUAGUAGAGUCAAAUACCCUAUGAGUCAUUUUGUAUCUAACCAUGGCUUAUCAAAAUCAAAUCAGUCAUUUGUGAAUCAAUUAUCUACUGUGUCUAUUCCUAACAGUGUGCAAUAAGCCUUAAAAUAUCGAAAGUGGAAAGGGCUAUGAAUGACGAAAUGAGAUCUCUUUAAAAAAAAUCAAACAUGGGAACUAAUUGAUCUUCCACCAGGAAAGAAACCAGUGGGUUGCCGAUGGAACUAGUUGAUCAUCCACCUCCAUUCUGACAAGCAAUGUUUAUCAGCAAUAACAAAUGACUGAAGCAUUUUAAUGAGGUUAGUAACGAAAAAGAGUUUAAUUAGAGAAUAUUAUAAGAGAAAUUCUAAUUUUUGAUUUUUAAUAAAUUAAAAUAUCUUAAAAUAUUAUUAGUUGGUGGUGGUUUCAUGUCAGAUUAAGACGUGACACCUUACUAAUGAGGUCGAGACAAUUAGCUUAAAUUAUUUCAAUGCAUUUGAAAUUUCCACUAAUGACUAUAAUUCUUUGUCCUAAUUACUAUGAUAAUUAAUAACAUACAAUUGAAAUAGUUAAUAUUAGCACUUGGCAAUAAAUAAUUAAAUUUCAUUAACACUAAAUAAUAAUUGAAUAUGGCUUUGUACAUCGAUGACGCCAGCAACAAGGGGACCGCGAUUAUCACUCUUUAAGUUGCUUUUAAAAUUGAUUUUAGUAGUGAUAUGAUUAUUGUAGUGUUUUUAUUUUUUAUAUUAAAAUUAAGUGAUUUGUUAUAAUAAACUUAGUUGAGUUUAAUGGUAUUACUACAUAAAUUGAAUAGUUAUCAAAUAUUUUAAUAUUUUUAUGGCAAGCGUUGACGUGGCAUUUAUUUGUUGUAUGAUGGAUUUUAAAAUUUAUAAAAUUAUUUGUUAUUAAAUUACCCCCAGAUGCUACAUCACCUGAAACUUAAUAAAGGUAUGAAGACAUGUGUGUGUGGACUGAAAUGAAGAAUAUGGAAAAGUUGAGAGCUGUUGUGCAGAUUGAGUUCAGUUGAUGGGGUCUAUUAGAUAUUGUCUGCUGACGUGGCAUGAAUUCGUUAUAAUCUGUUAUAACGAGUUCAGUAUAUCAGUAUACAAUAGAGCUGAUGGAUGGUGCCUGUUUUAGAGUCUUUUUUAUAUUCAUUUGUUCAUCAUUUUGCGCAAGAUCUGUUCCAUUGUGAUAUGUGUAAAGUCUUAUGUAAACCCACUUAUGAUUGGAUUAGUUCUUGAUUAAUAACAACGAGUAAAUUUUCCUUCAAGUGUGCUGGUCUGUGCCCCUGUUUUUUGUUCUGAUAUUGUUUCUUUGUUCUGGCAUUUCAUUUCGAUUGUGUUCUUGGUGUUUCUACUCAUCAAGAUUUAUGAGUCUUGUUGAGAUUAAAGACUUAAUAGUCUUAACAAGUGGUAUCAGAGCCUGGUGAAUCUCAGCCAUGUCUCUUUCGAAGCAUGAAAUUGAAAAAUUCACCAUUGGUGGUGAUUUCUCGCUUUCGAAAUUAAAAAUGAGGGCUCUCCUUGUGCAUUAGAGGCUUGAAUUUGCUCUGGAAAAAGAUAAUCUAGAGGCUGCUACAAGUUAUGUGACUGAUGAUAAGAAGAGACAAAUCCAAAACCGAGCUCGUAGCACUCUAGUUUUGAGUCUUGGUGACUCAAUCUUGAGAAAGAUUUCUGAAGAGAAGACAACCUUAGGGAUUUGGAACAAGGUAGAAGCUUUGUGUACAAAGAAGUCGCUAGCUCACAGACUAUUCUUGAAGAAAAAGUUAUACACAUUCUCGAUGAGAGAAGGAGUCACAAUUCAAGAUCACAUUGAUACCUUCAACAAGAUCAUUCUUGAUCUUGAAGGGGUGGAAAAUGUGACAAUAAGUGAUGAAGAUAAAGCCUUCUUCUUGUUGAGUUCCUUACCAAAGUCUUAUGAAGGCUUUGUAGAUACAAUGCUUUAUGGCAGAACAACAUUGACUCUUGAAGAUGUUAAAGCAUCUCUAAGUUCAAAAGAGAUUCAGAAGAACAAUGAGAUUGAAACAAAUAAUGGUGAUGGGCUGAUUGCCAGAUCAGAAAAGAAGAAAGAUCAGAAGAAUAAAAAUCAGGGAAAAUGACAUGGAAAGAAUUAAGAAAAUGCAGACAAGAAGAAAAAGAAGAGAAAAUGCUUCUACUGCCGGAAGGAAGGGCAUUACAUCAGGGAUUGUCUUAAAAAGAAAAAAAAAGAAAGUCAAGAGAAGUCAGGGGAUGCAGCUGUAGCCUCUGAUGAUGCCUCUGAUGGAUAUCACAUUGCUGAUUUACUUGUGGCCUCAAAUAGCAAUACUAAAGGUCAGUGGGUCAUAGACUCUGAGUGCUCUUUUCACUUGUGGCCUGAUAAAACCAUAUUUUACAAAUAUGAAGUUGUUGAUGGUGGUAGAGUCUUAAUGGGAAAUAAUAAUGUGUGUAAUCUUGUUGGUAUUGGUUCUGUGAAGAUCAAGAUGUUUGAUGGAACUGUAAGAGCUCUACAUGAGGUGAGGCAUGCUCCUAGGCUAAAGAGAAAUCUAAUCUCUUUAGGCAUGCUAGACAGCUUAGGGUAUUUCUUUAAAUCAGAAAGUGGUGGUUUAGAGAUAAGAAAGGGGACUGAGAUAGUGAUGAAGGGGGUUAAAGAAAAUGGCUUAUAUGUAUUGUAAGGCUCAUCAGUGCUUCUUCAAAAGGGAAUUUCUGCUCUUUUUGAGGAAGAUAUAACCAAGUUAUGACAUCUUAGACUUGGUCAUAUGAGUGUCAAAGGGAUGUAAGAGCUCAGCAAACAAGGGCUACUUGGUGGGGAUAGAAUCCAGCAACUGGAAUUAUGUGAAAAUUGCAUUUUUGGCAAAGCUCACAGGUCCAAGUUUCACAAGGGGGAGCAUAUGUCUAAGCAAGUUUUGGACUAUGCACAUGCUGACCUUUGGGGGCCUGCUCAAGUCCCAUCCUUGAGUGGUGGCAGGUAUUUCAUAUCACUAAUUGAUGAUUACUCAAGGAAGAUGUGGGUCUACAUACUCAAGACCAAAGAUCAAGCCUAGGAAAAAAUUCAAGGUAUAGAAAUCUUUGGUAGAAAAUCAAUUUGGAUUCAAGCUCAAAUGCUUGAGAACUGAUAAUGGUUUGGAAUUUUGUAGCAAAGAAUUUGAGGAAUAUUACAAAAAAACAUGGCAUAAAAAGGCACAAAACAGUCAGGUUCACCCCCCAGCAGAAUGGCUUGGCUGAAAGGAUGAACAUGACCUUGGUAGAUAAGACCAGAUGUAUGUUGAUAAAUUCAAAGCUUCCAAGAAGCUUUUGGGCAGAAGCUGUCAAUACAACAAGUUGUUUGGUUAACAGAAGCCCAUAUUCUGCAAUUGGCUUCAAAACACCAGAAGAAUUGUGGAAGGAAAAACCUGUAAAUUACCAAAAUCUCAGUGUUUUUGGAUGCCCUGCUUAUCUCCACAUCAAUCAAGGCAAGCUGGAAGCUAGGGCCUUGAAAGGAGUCUUUGUUGGAUAUCCUGAUGGGGUUAAGGGAUACAUAAUCUGGUGUAGAGAGUAAGGGAAGUGUAUAGUCAGCAGGGAUGUUGUGUUUCAUGAAUUUGGAUUGCUAAAAGAAAAUGCAGAGAAUGAUACUAGACUACAAAAUGAUUCAAUAAUUAUCAAACAAUCUGGAACUUCCAAGGUUAAGGUGGAGCUGUUUGGAAAUAAAGACAGUAGAAAAGAGGUAGCUGAUUAUGAAGAGAGGACCACAGCUAAAGUUGAGGAACAUGAGUCAUCAGAGUUGCCACAAGCUGACUUGCAGACUUAUCAGUUAGCAAGAGAUAGAGUUAGAAGAGAAGUCAAAGCACUAGUGAGGUAUGGCUAUGCUGACUUAAUUACUUAUGCAUUGUUGUGUGCUGAUGAUGUGGCAAUUGAAGAGCCUGCUAACUUCUCUGAAGUUAUUGAAAGUGUGCAUUGUGAUAAGUGGCUUGAGGCAAUGCAAGAUGAAAUGGGAUCCCUUCAAAGAAAUCAGACCUGGACACUUGUUCCAAAUCUAGGUAAUAAAAAGUUGAUCAGUUGUAAGUGGAUCUUCAAGAAGAAUGAAGGAAUUCCAGAUGUUGAACCUCCCAAAUAUAAAGCAAGGCUAGUGGCUAGGGGGUUUACACAGAGAAAGAGUGUAGAUUUCAAUGAAAAAUUUUCCCCUGUUCUUAAGCACAUUUCAAUAAGAAUUUUAUUAGUCAUGGUAGCCUUACUUGACUUGGAGCUUGAGCAAAUGGAUGUAAAAACAGCAUUCCUUCAUGGUAAUCUUGAAGAACAGAUAUUGAUGGCACAACCUAAAUGUUUUGAGUGCAAAGGAAAUGAGGAUUAUGUUUGUUUGCUGCAUAAGUCCUUGUAUGGACUCAAGCAAUCCCCACGACAGUGGUACAUAAGAUUUGAUGAUUUUAUGGUCUCAAAAGGCUAUCACAUAAGCAAAUAUGACAGUUGUGUUUACUUUGGUGGAUCAUAUCAAGGUGGAGUUGCUUAUUUGCUUCUGUAUGUUGAAGAUAUGUUAAUUGCAAGAAAAUAUAAGUUGGAGAUAGAGAGGUUGAAGAAAUGAAGGAUCUCGGCAAUGCCAAAAGAAUCCUUGGGAUGAACAUUACAAGGGGCAGAUCUGCUGACACUUUGUUCUUGAGUCAUGAGAAAUAUAUCAAGAAGGUUCUGGAGAGGUUUGAGAUGCAAGACUAUAAACCUGUCCAAACACCACUUGGUCCCCAAUUCAAGUUGACAGCAGCUCAAUCAUCAGAAGAUGAGUCUCAGGUGAGUGAAUUCCCAUAUGCACAGGUUGUAGGGAGCCUGAUGUAUGUAAUGGUAUGCACCAGGUCAGAUAUAGCUUAUGCAGUAAGUGUUGUCAGCAAAUUUCUCAGUUGUCUAGGCAAGGUUCACUGGAAUGUUGUAAAAUGGAUAAUGAGAUAUCUUAAGGGCUCUUUUACUUGUGGUUUGCUGUAUGGGAAGACUAAGAGUGACAUAAGUGAAGUCCUGGGGUUUGUAGACUCUGACUUUGCUGGAGAUCUUGAUAGAAUGAAGUCAACCUCAGGGUAUAUGUUUGUGUUAAACAGUUGCCUGAUUAGCUGGAAGUCAUCACUUCAGUCUGUGGUUGCUUUAUCCUCAACUGAAGCUGAGUUUGUUGCAACUACAGAGGCAGUAAAAGAGGCCAUGUGGCUAAGAGGUUUGCUUAAUGAGUUAUGGUUAAAUCAGAAAAUUGUUCAGGUUUUCUGUGAUAACCAAAGUGUCAUACACCUGGUAAAGAAUCAGAUGUAUCAUGAAAGAACCAAGCACAUUGAUGUGAAGCUCCAGUUUAUCAGAGAUGAGGUUGGAAAAGGAACUAUAAUUGUGUCCAAGAUCUAUACCAGUGUGAAUCCAACUGAUGUUAUUACAAAAGCACUUCCCACUGCAAAAUUUGAAUUCUAUGUGAAUCUAAUGGGCAUCUCGCCCAAACCUAACUAAAUUCAAUAGUGAAUUGUAGUUGAAUGAAGGUUUUUUAGGUGCUGUGUUAUUGAAAGGAUCAACUGAAUCAACUGCAAGGUGGAGAAUGUGAAGAUGUGUGUGUGGACUGAAAUGAAGAAUAUGAAAAAGUUGAGAGCUGUUGUGCAGAUUGACUUCAGUUGAUGGGGUCUAUUAGAUAUUGUCUGCUGACGUGGUAUGAAUUCGUUAUAAUCUGUUAUAACGAGUUCAAUAUAUCAGUAUAUAAUGGAGCUGAUGGAUGGUGCCUGUUUUAGAGUCUUUUUCGUAUUCAUUUGUUCAUCAUUUUGCACAAGAUUUGUUCCAUUGUGAUCUGUGUAAAGUCUUCUGUAAAUCCACUCAUGAUUGGAUUAGUUCUUGAUCAAUAACGAGUAAAUUUUCCUUCAAGUGUGCUGGUCUGUGCCCCUGUUUUUGGUUCUAAUAUUGUUUCUUUGUUUUGGCAUUUCAUUUCGAUUGUGUGCUUGGUGUUUCUACUCAUCAAGAUUUGUGAGUCUUGUUGAGAUUAAAGGCUUAAUAGUCUUAACAAAAGGGAAUGUAGCAUUGCCAUUAAUCAACAUUCACUCUUAUGACUUUAUGACAUUAGAAUUAAAAUCUUUCGUACAUUUAAUUUAUUUGCUUCCAAAUUAAUCUUUAAUAAAUAUUUUUUCACAUUAUCAUCAAUGGACAAAACUCCAACGAAAAUAACUACACGAGAACAAUUUAUGCUAGUAUUAAAUGCCACGAUAUCUAUAACUUUGUCUGGAUCGAUCAUUCUAAUUUUUUCGCAGAACUUUUUGUCAAUGGACAAACACCUCACAGAGCUUGUCAGCCGCAUUAUUACGAUGUAAAAUUGUACCGGAAUAUCUUGAAUUAUUAGUAGAAUAAUGAAGACUAUUUGGGGCAAUAAAAACAAAUAACGCAGAUAAAAAAAUGGCUAAAAUUAUGUAAGUGAGCCCCAAAGUUUUUGCUAUUUCCAGGAAAUCCCAAAUUUGAAUGGACUAGAGGGAGGCACGUAAGAAAUACAUUUUCUUCCUAGACAAUGACAGCUAUGACAUCAAGCCACGGUGGCGUCAGUAUUGAAAUUAAGGUGUAAUUAUUCAGCCAAUGAGCCUUACACAUCAAGAUAAAAGUCAAGAUAAUGAAAAUUUGGCUGUUUCCAUUUGAAGUUAAAAGCAACGUUUCUUUCGUUUUGUGGGCGACUCGACUGAGCACGCCCCAAUAGCUAUAUUUAGGGCGUCAAUUUGAUAUUUGAAUGGACAGGCAAGUAAGAAAUACAUUUCCUUCAUAGACAAUGACAACGAGGACAUCAAGCCACAUCAUUAUAGUUUGUAGCCCAUCUACAUUUAAACGAUUAAUAAACAAGCUUAGGUGUGCCACUGCUAUUAUUAAUUAUCCCCUGAUCAUUAUAGUUUCUGAAACAGUAAAACUAAACGAAAUUGAAUACAUCAACGAGACCGCAAUUAUCACUUGUUUAGUUGCGGUAUUUAACUUAAUUUUAAUAUAAUAUAUUUGUUAGUUAAACUUUUAAUAAUCAAAUAAUUUUGAUUUAAAAAUAAAAUUAUAGAAAUUAUUAAUUAUUAAUUAUUAAAAAUUCACAAUUAAGGGAACGUUCAUCAAACACACAUAGCUAUUGUUUUCUCUAUAUAUUGCAGUGUGUACGAUAUUGAGGGUUGAAGCCCCAAGCAUGCUCUAAAAUCCAGAUAAUAAUUAGAUCCGGGCCAAAUAUUCAUCAUUGUGUCAGCUGAUCAGUCGGUGGACAUCUCUAUUGAAAAUAUCUCUGACAUUUCACUCGACAAACUUAUUAAUAUAAAAAAUCUGUGGUUUUGCCGUCUGAAUAAUGUAGAAAAAUUUGUCUAUGCAUUAAUCUAGAUGUUUGAGGUGAUUUAUACAUCUGUGGUAAAGAUUUAUAGGUUGACUUAGACGUCUGUGGUAUAGAUUUUAUGUAUUUCAUUACAAAAUGCUGGCCGUUAGAACCCUUUCUACAUCUAUUUAUAAGAUUAACGGGUGCCAGCUAUGCCAUUACAAAUUAUCCCCUCAUCAGAUAUUUCGUUAAAAUUCAUUCUGAAACACUAAAACUAAAUAAUCGAAUAUGGCUUUGCGGGUCGAUGAUGCCAGCAGCAAUGAGACUGCAAUUAUCACUUGUUUAGUUUCUGUGCUGGCCGUGGUUUACUUCGCAUGGAAUGUGAAAAAAUCAAGGAAAGCAAAUGCUACACUGCCACCAGGACCUCGCGGCUUGCCUGUAUUCGGAUACCUCCCAUUUCUUGGAACUACUGACUUGCACAAGAAAUUCACGGAAUUAUCCGGAGUUUAUGGUCCGAUCUUCAAGCUUUGGCUUGGAAAUAAAUUAUGUGUAGUGGUGAGCUCACCUUCCCUAAUUAGACAAGUGGUUCGUGAUCAAGAUACAACAUUCGCGAACCGUGACCCACCGAAGGCUGCACUAGUGGUCUCCUAUGGUGGCAAUGAUAUUGCAUGGUCCAAUUACGGUCCCGAAUGGAGAAAGUUGCGCAAAUUUUUUGUGGGCAAGAUGAUGAAUAACGCAAGCCUUGAUGCUUGUUAUGCUCUAAGAAGACAAGAGGUUAAAAAUACUAUCAGGGAUUUGUAUAACAACGACAACAAAAUUGGCAAGCCCAUUGACAUUGGUGAAUUGUCGUUUUCAACAUUGGUAUGUGCUAUACAGAACAUGCUGUGGGGUGAAGCGCUUGAAUUAAAAGAGAAAGGGACCACUAAUCUUAGGGCUGGGCUAAAAUUUAAGCUGGCAGAACUCAUGGUGCUUGCGGGAACACCGAAUAUUUCGGAUGUCUUUCCAAUGCUUUCAUGGCUUGACAUACAAGGUAUAGAGAGGAGAGCAAAGAAGAUUUCACUCUGGCUUGAUAAUGUUAUAAAUUCUACUGUUGAACAGCAUAGAAACAAGGAGUUAACUGUUGAAGGUGAAGAAAGAGCGGGGAAAAAUUUUGAAGGAUCAAGGAACAAGAACUUCUUGCAGUUACUAUUGGAGCUUCAAGAAAAUGAUGACAGUGCUUCCUCAAUUAGCAUGAACCAAUUCAAGGCCGUACUCGCGGUAUGUUAAGCAACUAGCCACGAACAGUUAUACAAGCACAAUUGUAUAUUUGCAUGAGUGAUAUUUUCAACCUUUUUUUUUAAUUAGAAUUUUAUUGUCACCUUUUGGACAGGAUAUAAUUACGGCUGGAACCGACACCACAACUACGAUGGUGGAAUGGACAAUGGCAGAGUUGAUGCAGCAUCCACAAGUAAUGAAGAAAGUUCAGGAAGAAUUAGCUCAAGUUGUGGGCAUGGACAGUUGUGUUGAAGAAUUUCACCUGUCUAGAUUAAUGUAUUUAGAUGCUGUGGUGAAGGAAACAUUUCGUCUGCAUCCUGCAGUGCCUUUAUUACUACCACGUAGGGCAAGCGAGAGUGGCAACAUUGGUGGCUAUACCAUUCCCAAAGAUACAACUCUUAUGUUGAAUGUUUGGGCUAUCCACAGGGACCCUCACCUUUGGGAUAAUCCCUUAGAAUUUCGACCCGAGAGGUUUCUGAAUGUUGGUAUCGAGAGUAAGUUCGAUUACUCAGGUAACAAUUUUCAGUACUUGCCAUUUGGUUCUGGUAGAAGGAUGUGUGCUGGGAUUCCUCUAGCUGAGAGGAUGCUGAUGUUUGUUUUGGCUUCGUUAUUGCACUCAUUCGAGUGGGAAUUGCCAACUGGCACAAAGCUAAACUUAUCAGAAAAAUUUGGGAUUGUCAUUAAGAAAAAAGAGCCUUUGGUUGCUAUUCCAACACCAAGACUAUCCAAUUCAGAGCUCUACCAUUAAGACCAAAUGGUUGUGAUGAUUUUGUUAAUUUCCGAAGAUUUGUAUGUUAUUUCAAGUUCAAUCGUAGUAAAAUAUUUCAAAUAAGAGUCCUCCGUUGCUUUUUUUUUUUUUUUUCAACGGCAUAAUCUGUGGUCAUGCUUGUAUUUGGAGCCACUUUAGAAAAAUUAUGUUUGAAUUACAAUUUAUAAAUAUUACAUUUUAAAAUAUUAUGAGGCUAAAUUUAUACACGUUCAAUAACCCGCUUCAUAUAUAUUUAACACAAUUUAUAUCAUACAUUGUACACCCAUUUAUCAUAAAUUACACUAUUU
rnacentral:lncRNA from 1 species